UUUUUUUUUUGGAAAAGCUUAUCAUCGUUACAAAUACAUAGUCUUAUGCAAAUUUAUACUAUAUAGUGGCAAGAUAGAUAAUACACAACACCGGAAACUGCUGCCCUCUAUGUAUGCCUUUUUUUAAUAUCAACGCAACAUUAUUUUUAUUCAUGAAAUAUAUUACUAAGAAAGAGUGUAUGGUGCAUGAUGAUAUCAUUACGAUUAGUUUCGAGUUUCGUCCUCAGUUUCCACGGCACCAUGACCACCGUGACCACGUCUACCGUGGUUGUGACCACCUCCACCACCAUUGUAACCCUCUCCGCCAUGGUUGUAAACAUGUCCACCUUUUUCAUGAACAUCACCAUCACCGUUGUUAGAAUCAUCACCGUUGUUAGAAUCACCACCGUUGUUAGAACCACCAACAUAGCCUCCAUCUUUGCCAUAAUUUAAGUCAGUCUGUUCAACACUAUCUGAAAAAACAAUAUAUAUUAAUCAUUAUAUCAUUAGAUAAUUAAAAAGGUUUGCUAAAUUAGAUAUAAAAAAAAUAUGGUCCAAGUUAGCAAAUAUGCACAUUUUUAUUUGGACAAAAAUAUCCUUCAUUUUUAUUAUUAAAAACUAAUAGUUUGAGGGUUACUUUAAUAUUUUUAUUUAAAACAUAUUUGUUACCCGACACCAAUUGCUAACUUAGACCCACUUUUAUUUUAUUACAAAUAAAUUAAGGGUCACUUUAGUACUUUUCAUUAAAACAUAUAUUUGUUAACUUGCAUCAAUUUGCUAACUUAGACCCACCUUUAUUUUAUAACAAAUAGCUUGAAGGAUAUUUAAUAUACUAUCACUUACAUUAAUUUAGUUUACACUAGUGGAUAUUUGCUAACUUGGAUCAAAUUGCACCGAUGUGAUAUAAUAUUUGAAUAAUUUACACUGCUUAAAAACUUCUUAUUGAAUAUAGAAUUAUAGCAAAAAAAAAUUUAAUAAAGAAUUAUAGCAAAUUUUAUAAGACUCACAAUUGAAUAUAUAAUUAUAUCAUAUGGAUCAUCUCUGUAAGUUAUAUAUGAAGCAAAUUUGAAAUCGUUUUUUAUAUAACAUUGAAGUGCAUGAAGAUUAACGUUUACAUAGAAAUGAAUUAAUUAAAAUGUAUAAAAUACAUAAUUAAGUAUAAAAGAAUUAUCCUUUAAAAAAGUAGAAAUGAAUUAAAAACAUAUGUCUAAAACGCUCACCCCAAUUAGGAUCCGUGGAAGUUUCGGAUAUCACUGAGGAAAUAAGAACCAUAGCCAAGAGGCCUAGCAUAAGGAUUGCCUUUUUUGAAACCAUUGUUCAAUAUCUGUUCAAAUUUGAUAUUUGGUAGUGAACGAUGAGAAAAGUAGCAAGAAGUGUGCUCUAUAUAUAAUGGAGGGAAGGAGUGAGAUGAUGUAGGGACAUUCACUUGCUAGUUGAGAAGGUAGCUAGUGUGUAAUAAUUCAUUGCUUUUUAGUUUCAUAAUGUACAUGGUCUAUAAUAUCGACCAGAUACAUCUUUUAUGCAAUUAAUCUAAAAAAUAAAAUUUUAUGUAUAAUAAUAAUCGGAUGAUGUAUAUAUUUAUAAAUUUUUAACUAAAAUAAUUGUUUGAUGAUUUUAAUAUCAUUUGUUUUGACUACUUCCUUUCUUUCAAAAUAAGUGAUCUAGUUGAUUGUUUUAAGCAAUUUAUAUAUGUAUAAACAAAAAAAUAUAUAAAAUUUGAUUUUUAAAAAUAUUUGUUGAAACAAAUCUAAAAAUAUCUUAUAUACUGAUAUUUCUCUUUAUAUGGUAGUAGAAAAAGAUUAUCAAAUAUAUUAUGUGAAUUGUGAAUAAUAGAGAAUCACUUAUUUCAUAAUAGAGAGAGUUGUAAAGACCAAAGGCUAUGAAAAAUUGAAAAUGGUGAUGAGGUAUGGCUACUUUCUAUUGGCUGAAAGUGACAUUUUGAAAGCAUACUAUUGGUUCAUACUAGCUAUCUCAUCCCAUGGAGAUACAUGCAUUCAACUUUAUCCAGACACAUUCAUAAUAUGUUUUCUAUAAGUAAUUUUAUUUUUUUUAGCAAAAGAGUAUUACGGAGGUACACUCUAUACUUGAACAUUCACUUAUUAUAUGUUUUCUAUAAUAAUUAAUAAGUGAACUCUAACCAAUAAACUCUACUUGAACAAAAACAAAAAACAUUUUCCUUAAUCAUAUUAUCUCCAUCAAUCUCAUUUUAUUAUUCGCCACUUUGAAUAUACUAUAUACAGAUACACUAAUAUUAUAGCCAUUCUCUAAAGGCUAAUUAUUUCUAUUCUUUUGGUGUUUUUAAGUAAAUUAGCUUUCGUGCUAGUAGCAUUCCAUUUAGCAUGUAAGUAAUUAUACCGGUGUAUGAGAACAAUUUCGUUUUUGACACUAUGCAUAUCUUGCGGUAUUAUGCUUUAAAAAUUUGCUUACAAAAAAAUAUUAAUAGCUAAUAAUGAUAUUUAUUAAAACCGAUAUUCUACUUUUUUUUUCAUUUCUCAUGUAUUUUUUUUAAUUUUCGUGAAAUCAUCAAAAAAAUAUGCUUUAAUUUGUGGGACAAAAAGAGCACUAGAUGAAAAAUAGGUUUUUGCAGCGUCCAAAAGCCUCCUCAAAAAACCUCCCUGAAAUAGGUUCAAGUUCAACCAUCCCGCUUUUAAACCUCCUCAAGCGUUUGCAUUUUUUUUAUGUUUUCAUAAUUAGUGUGAAAAAUAUAAAAAUAAUAAAUUUAAUAAAAAUUAGAUAUAUUAAAACAAAAAUUGUAGUAAGAGAGAAUUAAAAAACAACUUAAAAAUAAAAAAUGGUAAAACAAAUAUUUUAUAGUAAUUUAAAAUUAAAUAUAGAUUAAAUUUAAAAAGGGUUAAAUAUGUUUUUAAUCUCUACAAUAUCACAGAAUUUCUAGUUUAGUUCCUACUCCCUCCGUCCUAAUUUAUAAACAAAAAACACAAAUUCACACUUAUUAAGAAAACAAAAACAUAGUAGUUUGAGAUAUAAUUUUUUGUGUUUUUAUUGGAAUAAGUUUCAUGGAAAAAAAAUUGUGUAGAUUAAAUUUUUUGUGCCUUUAGAUGAAAAAAAAAUAUUGGAUGAUGAUUAAAAUAAAUUAGUUAGAUGAGAUGAGAGAGAAUGAAUGAGCCAUAGGUCAGACUCCCCUAACCAAGAACAAUGCCCAAAAGAGACAAAGCCAUCAUAGACCCGUACCUAGCAUAAAGGACAUCCCACCACAUAAUCAGGCUCUCCAAAAUAAUCAUCCAACAUUACUUACAAGCAUACUUAUAAAAUUCAAAAGAGGAAAAAAUACAAAAUACUUAUAAAUAAAUUCUCAUGAAUAAAGAAAAAUGAAAAAUAUUAUAUAGUUCACCCGUUUUGGUAUUAGAGGAAGUCUCAGUUAAGACCCUCGCUGAAACCCUAGAGGAAAUAAGAACCAUAGCAAAUAGGCCUAGAAUGAGGAUUGCUUUUUUUUGAAUCCAUUGUACUCAAGAGUAUAAAUAAACUACACAAAUCGGUAUUACAAAAGGGAUAUUUGGUAGUGAACAAUAAAAGAGAAUGUGCUCUAUAUGUAGUGGAGGUUGGGAGAUCAAUACUUGGUAGUUGGGAAGGUGGAAUAGUGCUCUAUAUUAAUUCAUUCUUAUCUUCAAAUUCAGAACUGUUUGUUUGUUAGUAAUUUUGAAACCAUUCAUUUUGAGUAUUAAGAAUCGGAGGCUACUUAAUUCGUUGAAAAAAUGAAGCAGUUAUUGUCUAUGCCAAGCCUACUUAAUUCGUUGAAAAUAACAGUAUUGAAAGUAUUGAAAAUAACAGUAUUGAAAAUAACAGUAUCAACCACAUACAUCAUUAAAUAAAUAAACCUAAAAAAUGAAUUUUGUUUAUAUUUUGAUACGGAGUGAGUACUUUUAAUUUUGAAACCAUUCAUUUUGAUAUUUGAGUGGUGAAGGUACAUUCCGAAUAAACACUCUAAACUCUAAACUUUUUUAUAACUUCAACAAAUGAUCUAUCUAUCACUCAAAUUAAAUUUUUAAGGGGUUCUAAAUUGACUAGUUUAAGUGUGAAGAACAAGAAACAUAUGAAUAUGCAAACUAAAAUGCAACAACAUAUUGAACAAGACUUUAAGCUCGGACAUGAGUAAAAAAUACACAACUAAAGGGUUCAAACUCACAUAUUUACUAGGUUAUUGUGAAUUUGGACUCAAAUCUUAAAAAAAAAAAAAAAUAGAUGUGAAGAGCAUAUAUCAAUGACAACCAACAAUCAAACAUUCUCAAGUUACACAACAUAUUUAAAUAUGUGUAAAGUAAAGCCACAAUCAAAGCAUGGAAUAAAGAUAAAAGAGAAGAGAAAUCAACAUAGGAAUACUAUUGUUUACCCAAUUUGCAUUGGUCCAAGAAUGAGCCACAUUUUGGGGAGAGAAAAUAUCUUCAAUCCACUAUCAAUGAUUCAUUGGAAAGAGAUACAGAGAGUUACAUGAAAUUAACUUCAACAAGAUCUUCGAGAGCAAACUUAAUUUCUACUAUUUUUCUACGUACACUCUUCCCUUGAACAAGAGAGUUACCAAGUGACCAAAAAAUUUAGCUUCCAAUGUUUUCCAAAAACAUCCCCUAAGAGGAGAUUAGUUUAUGAAUACGUUAUUUAAUUAUUCCAAUGUUUAUGAAUACGUUAUUUAAUUAUUAACUCUUGAAAGGAAGUCUCAAGUCACAACAAUUCGGGCACACCAUUUCGAAAUACACAUAUUCAUAAAAAGAUAGAAAGAGAAAAUAAUUAAAUAACGUAUACUUUUAAAAUAAUUAAGUAUUUCUUUGUGUUCAGUAUACAUCUCAACCAACACCUAUUGAUUCUUGUAUAAAUAAAAAUGGUGUCUAAGCCUAUCGCACAACGGACCCCUCUCAAACUAAUCACCCAACCAAAAUAGUGUCUUAGCUCCAUUGUCCACCACCCUCACCAAAUUGUCCUAGUAUCCUCGCAACCCACCGUUCAUAUUAACUAUGAGUAGUGAUAUAUGUACAACUCUUUGGUACAACUUUCAUGACAACUUUGGUUUUCUCUCUUUUGAUUGGUCAAAAAUACUAGAGAGAGAAAAAGGAAGAGAGAUAAUAAGAAGAUAAUGUGAGUAUGUGAGAGAAAGUUGUCAAAAAAUUGUUAGAAAAUGGUUGUACAAAUAUCAUUUCUCAUUAACUAUUAUUCAUCAAACUACAUGUUAUUUCUAAGAAAAAAUAAAAAAAUUAGUUUUUAUAUAUAUCUUUUAUUUGGCCAAUUAGCCUAAUGAAUAAAAUUCCACCCUAUUAAAAUGAAAAAAUGGAGAAGGUAGGAAAUUCAACCCCUAUAUAUAUAAUAUAAUAUCCAUGCCAACUGAAUAUGAAAGUCUUUUGCCAAUAUAUAUAUAAAUUAAUAUUCAACUACCUAACAUGUAUGAUUUCUCGAUAAAACAAUAUAUUAACAAAAUAUUAUAGUUUAUUUCAUUUAUUCUUGAUGAUGAGAAAUCAAUAAUAACAUUUUUAUUUAUUUAUAGAGAUAAUAUAAUAUCUCUAAACUAACAUAUAACUUAUUAAUUCAUCUUAAAUUUUAACUUAAAAUACAAUUCAUCAAUCUCAUUAAUAUUAUAGCAUGAGUCAUUAUACUAGUUUUUUUUUUUUUUUUAGUAAAGGUCAUUAUUGUGUAACCAAAAAAUAAAAGAAAAUAUUCUAUAUUAAAAUUUCAGAGCUGCCGUUCCUGUCACAAUUAAUUAAUUUUUCUUUUUAUAUUUUGAUAAUUUCAGAACUCCUUAAGUUCAAAUUGACAGCGAUGAACGAUAAUGAAAGACGCCCACUUAUUUUGAAUUUUUCAUACAAAUGUGUGGCUAGACGUGGCCAUAUAAUUUGUAUUCAUGCGUACCCAUCCGAACCCCGUUUCGAAUAUGAUUUGGACAACUUGAAUUGGAGCUAGACUUGGUUAAACAUAACCAUAAAUCUUUUAUCUAGAUACACACUCAUUAAUAACAAAAAGUAAAGGAGGAAAAAAUAAAUUUUAUUAUUAUUGAAAUUAAUGAAUAAAGUGUCGUGACGGAUUCAGAAAUGUUGACUUGUGGAAACAAAACUUUAUAUAAUACUCCCUCCGGUCCUAUUUACAAGAGAAAUUUGACUUUUUAAAUACAUUGAAUAAUGUAUGUAUCUAGUCAAGAACCUAAUCCAAAUACAUAAAUUAUUUAAUGUAUCUAAAAAGUAAAUUGUUUCUUAUAAAUAGGACCAGAGGGAGUAAAUAUUUAAAGAAAAUUUUUAAUAAUGCAAAAGUGAUAUAAUAAUAACAUCAUUAUCAUUGAGAAAAAUGCUCAAUAUUUAGAAAAAUUAAAGACUCGUCAACAUCUACAAAUUAAAAUUGUUUUUACGUGUCUUUAUAUUCAAAAAAUAUGGUAGAAAUUAAAUUUCAUCUCAAAUGCAUUUACGCAUUCGAUUUUAUGAAAUUCAUGAACAAAACUUUUUUUUAUGGUAUAAAUUUUAAUUUAAUUGAGGCAAUCUAUUAUUUUAAGAGAGAGCAACCAUUAAAAUAUAAAAAAUUUAACAAAUAUAACCAGAAGAGUAGUGGGGGCAGUUUCCCCCAUACCACUCUACCUAGAAUCGUGGUUGAUGAUGUGAUUGUUAAUGUGGUGUGCCUAAAUGCAAAAUAUUUAUUUUUGUUAUCAAGUAAGUAUUGACUCGGUUCGUAUUUUUUACGAUUUCAAAAGACGGUUGUGGCCUCGCCCGUAUCAAAAUUAUAUUAUUACCUCUCUUAAAUUAUAAACUCAUAAACAAAUUCCUAAAUUACAUUCAUACAUUAACUUUUAUUUUUAAGCUCAACCUUAAACAAGUCAUUUCCUCUACUUUUUUUUUUUAGAAAACCAUAUUGUUGAAACAACAUAGUUUUGAGCUUUUUUACUUAUUCUUAAUAGAAAAAAAGAUCAAAUGCCACUUUUGAUCCUUUUAGUUUAACAGAAUUCUCAAGUUAGUCCUUUAAAUUUCGAAAGUUUCAAUUAGGUUCUUUUGGUUUGACAUAAUUCUCAAGUUAGUCCUUUAAGUUUCAAAUAGGUCCUUUUAGUUGAUAAAUUAUUUCACUGUUACCGCUGCUGUCAGUCUCUGUUUAACUAAUGUUAAUGUAGCUGUAAGUUGUUGACUUGAAUCGAAAUGCUGCCUUUUAAUAGCUCGAGGGUGCAUGUCUAAACGCUACGUUUAAUGGUCACAAAUGAUCAUUUAUAGUGCUAAUAAGACAGCUAUUUACAACAAUAAAUGUCUUUCUAGCACUAUUAAACGACAUUUAUAAUACUAGAAUGAUCAUUUGUGACGAUUAAACGUAAUGUUUUGACUCACCGGAGCUUUUAAAAGACAACGUUUUGAUUCAAGUCAACAACUUAACGGCUACAUCAGCAUCAGCUAAUUAUUAACUGACAUGAGGGGGGUAACGGUGAAAUAGUUUAUCAACUAAAAGGACCUAUUUGAAACUUUUGAAACUUAAAGGACUAACUUGAAAAUUAUGUCAAACUAAAAGGACCUAAUUGAAACUUUUGAAACGUAAAGGACUAACUUGAGAAUUAUGUCAAACUAAAAAGACCAAACGUCAUAUUUGGCCUACAAAAAGUACAAAAGUUCACGUGAGAGAAUCGAACAACCCAAAAUGUUUUGUGAACCCUAUUUCUUGAUGAAUCCACGUGAUACACAACUCAGCAAGCCAUCAGAGCAUGCCUCAACGGAGAAAAACGCCGAUAUCUGCAUGGAAACCAACCCCAAAAGGGGUUAUCUUCCAAAAACUACCAGCACAAGGUCAUAGGUGUUCUGGAAUGAGGAUAAUGCGUAGGGGCAGCGCCUCUCAUCGCACCACCGCGCUAGCCGCUACAUCUAAAAGGAACAAAUUUGAAUGAGGGGAAGGCGUUGGAGAGGUGGUCGUUCAAGAGAGAAGCGAGAGAGUACUUUUUGAGAGAGAUAAGGGAGCAUCCUCCUAUCUUCCUAAAGUUACAUGCAUUUCUUAAUUUUGUCUAACAUCCAAUUUACCCUCUAUACCGUAGAUUUUUUUAAAAUACUCCCUCCGGUCCUAUUUACAAGAUAAAGUUGAUUUUUUUGAUACAUUGAAUAAUGUAUGUAUCUAGUCAAGAACCUAAACUAAAUACAUAAAUUAUUUUAUGUAUCUAAAAAGUAAAUUGUCUCUUGUAAAUAGGUCCGAAGGGAGUAUUUACUUUUUUUUGAACAAAGUAAAAUGAGACAUAUAUUAUAAACAAUGGCGAUUUACCGUGCACAAGACAUGCAAAAGGUAAACCGACCAAUCAAAAUACAACAGUAGGGUGCUAAUUUAGAGUAACACCGUAAAAAAGUUACAAAAAAACUACACAAAAACACCCAUGCAGGGAAGUGGGUGUUUCCACCAGUCAUAAUAAGAAUAAAUAAAAGAUAUAUGCGAUGAUUUCAGCCACAUAAACGAGUUCAGCUUCACUUUUUCAGCUAAAGAAGAAGGAUCACAAACCGUUUCUUGGAACACACGGUUAUUUCUUUCCUUCCAAAUGACCCAAGCAGAAGCGAACCAUAUUACUUUCAGAUAAUAAUGAGUGGCUCUAGGAAAGCCGGCCAAAUUAGAAAAUUGUGUAAAAUGCCGCCGAAUAUCACCUGGAAACACCACAGAUAAACCUAACCAAUGCAAAAUAUGAUCCCAAAGCGUACUAAAAAUAUUACAGACACAAAACAAGUGAUUUGCGGUUUCAUAGGCACCACAACCUGACACACAAACCGAGUUAGCUAACAGAAGAACACGCCGAUGAACCAAGUUGUCUCUAGUGGGAAGUCUAUUCCGAAAAAGGCGCCACACAAAUAGUGACACCUUAGAGGGUAUGCUCUUAUGCCAAACAUCUUCAACCAGAGUCUUAUCCACCACAUUACCAUUAUCAGUGAGAAAACGAUAAGCUUCCCGUACCGUAUAACCACGGAUAGGAUCUAACAACCAAAUCCAAGAGUCAUGAACAUUAACCUGCAAAACGACAUUAGAAAGUAACAUAGAACAUUCCUUCACACUUUCCUCCUCCCACGCCAAAAGUCUCCGGCUCCACUCCCACCCCCACCUCCAACCUCCCAACCGUCCCUACUCAUGUCCUCCACCGUACACUCUUUGCGUAAAAACAAAUCAAAAAGACGGGGGAAUUUACAACAUAAAGGUGUAUCCCCCAACCAAUUAUCAUACCAAAAUAAAGUAUCCCUACCAUCUCCUACCCUCCUACGAAUGUUGUCAUCAAACCACCUCCCAACACCCUCACCUAACCCCUCCCUAAUCCUACACACUGACCGCCACCACGGAGAAUCGAGGUGUCCUCCCUCCUCCAACCGUCCCCCUAUCUCACCAUAGCGGGCUUUAAGUACUUUAUACCACAUCCCCUCCUUUUCAUUCAACAUCCUCCAACACCACUUCCGCACCAACGCCAAAUUAAAAGCUCCCAUCCUCCUCACCCCCAACCCUCCGUGCUCCUUUGGAGUACAAAUCGACUCCCAAUUUAUCCAAGCAAUUUUCCUAGAGUCCUCACCCCCACCCCAAAAAAAAAAUUAAAAAUAGAUUCAAUAGAGGAAAUUAUACCUGCGGGGGCUUUGAAAAAGGAAAGAAAGUAAACAGGAAUGGAAGACAGAACAGAUUUCAGAAGAACCAAGCGGCCGCCAAAAGAAAGGAAUUUAUUACUCCACAAGGACAGGCGCGAAACAAUUCGAUCGACAACAGGUUUCCAAAAACUAAGUUUCCUUGGAUCACCACCAAUAGACAACCCUAAAUAGACAAAAUGGAUAGUUCCCCUUCGACAAUUCAUAACCAACGCCGCUUCAGUCAACCACGAAUCCGAAACAUUCACACCCGUCAACAUGCUUUUAAGAAAAUUUACCUUCAACCCCGAAAUCUUUUCAAAUAAUAGCAAGACGGACCUCAUGGUUCUGACGUUCAACCAACUUUUCUCUCCAAUAAUAAGGGUGUCAUCCGCAAACUGCAAAUGAGUUAAAUAAACAUCACCUGAUCGACCAACUUUGUACCCUGAAAACAUAUUAGCAUCAACCACCGCUUUCAUCAACACAUUGAAACCUUCUGUAACCAACAAAAAAAGAAAAGGUGAUAAAGGAUCUCCUUGUCGAAGGCCCCUCUCAAUAGGAAACUCAUUCGCCGGGCUACCAUUAACCAAAACUGAUGUUGUUGCUGUCCCAACACAUUCAUGAAUCCACUUCCGCCAGAGUCUCGGAAAAUUCAUAUUCUCCAUUACCAUGUCCAGAUACCUCAGAUCAACUGAAUCAUACGCCUUUUCGAAGUCAACUUUAAACAACAACAGUUCUUUAUUCAUCCUCUUAGCUUCAUCCACCGCUUCGUUAGCUAUCAAAAUACUGUCAAGAAUCUGUUUCCCCUGAAUAAAAGCCGACUGUGACUCUGACACAACAUUACCCACUACUAAACGGAGACGAUUGGCGAGGACUUUAGCUAGCACCUUAUACAGACAGCCCACUANAGAGAUAGGCCGAAAAUCAUGGAGUCUUUGCGGACUAUUAACUUUUGGAAUUAAAGCUAUAAAAGUUGAGUUUAUACCUUUUGUAAGUUUCCCAUUCCGAUGGAAAUCUACCAAAAACCUCAUAAAGUCAUCUUGAAGCAAAUCCCAAAAUUGUUUGAUGAAACCAAAAUUGAUGCCAUCAGGCCCUGGGCUUUUGAAGCUAUCACAAUCCCACACCGCCUGUUUCACCUCCUCAACUGAAAAAGGUUUUGUCAAAUUCCCAACCUGAACACCAGUUAAUUUUCGAAAAAGAAGAUUCUCCACACCCCACCGAUUAGCCGCACUUGAUUUAAAGUGAGAAGAGAAAUGAUUAAAGACCGCAUUCCGAAUAGCUUGAACACAUUCCAAAUUAACCCCAUCGACAGACACACACCUAAUAGCAUUGUGACGCCGUUUAGCAGACAUAACUCCAUGAAUUUUUUUUGAAUUUGCAUCUCCUUCCUUCAACCACUGCAAUCGAGAAUUUUGCCAGUGUACACUAGUCUGAGUUCGAGCCAAAGAAUGGAGAUUCACAGAUAAAUCACGUAAUUCCAGCACCUCAUUUUCCUGAAGUUCCGACAACUCUGCCUUUGUAUCUAAAAUGGAUAAUUUAUUUUUUACCUCCGACUUCCUUCCAUCUAAAUUCUUAAUAUGCUAACACUUUAGGUGAAAAAAAAGAUUAUACUUUUAUGUUAAAAAAUAAUUUAAAAAUAUUUUUACAUUGUCAAUUAAUAAAGUAAAAAUAUUAAAAUUUGAUUAAAAUUAUUUUUAAAUUCAUAUACAUGAUUGCUUGUGAUUAUUUAAAAAUAGUAAAAAAAUAAUAGUUCAACCGUAUAGUGAAAUUAAACUAAAAAAAAGGUGUACCGCAAUAAUUUCAUUCUCCACCUUUUAUUGAUUUUGUUUUUUCCGGCCCCUCCCACCAUUUAUUUCUGGCUCCACCCGACAAUCAAUUUGUGUCGAGUGUUUAAUCUACACAAUUUUUUUUAUUAUCUACAUUUAUUUAUUUUUUAUUUCAUUAUUAUUUAUCAGUUAAUAAAUACUUCCUUCGGUGUCCCCGUGAGCUUAGCUCAGUUGGUAGGAACAAAUGCAUAAUAUAUGCAGGGGCCAAGGUUCGAACCUCAGAUACACUACUUCUUCACAUUAAAUAUGUGUGAGCUCCAGCCACUAGGCUACCUGACCAAAAAAAAAAAAUACUCCCUCCGAACAUACUUAUAAGAAAUACUAGAAAUCCGACCCGUGCUGACGUCAUAUAACAAUAAAUCAUAAAUCAUACAAAUAGAAGAAAUUUAAUUCCGUUCAAUCAUACAAAGUACACGAUUUAGGAUACAUUCCAAGUCAUACAUAUUAAUAGAAGAACUUUAAUUUCGUUCCAUCAUACAAAGUACACAAUUUAGGAUACAUUACAAAAAACUUCAUGAUAAACAACAUUAGACAUUACAUUAGUGUCUUCACGAUCAUCACAAUUUUGUUUGUUUUUUGGAAACUAAUGCUUCUAAGUUGCAAAGAAAUUGAUGGUUCUUAUCUUACUAUUAUUUUGUUCCCAAUUUGUAAGGUGUUCAACUAAUCAAGCUCAAACCUUAUAAGAGUGAGGUUCAUGGUGUUUUGUUAAAACUUGAAUAUGCAAUUAACAAUGACGGCCCUUUUAUGGUGGUGUUAUUUUAUUAAUAUUUUGACGGUGAUUUAUCAUAGUAAGUGCAACAGAGUGUGAUAUAUAUAUAUAUAUAUAUAUGAGGAUGUAUACUAUGAGAAUGAGUAUUUUAUAUGAGAAUGAUGAGAAUAAUUAUCAAUCAUCAGAUUAAAAAUAAAAGGUUGCGAUUAAAAAUUCUUAUUUAAACAACCCAUGUGCCUCACUUACACUUAGUGUAUCCACAAUACUCAUUCAGCUACCCAUUCAUCGCUUCAUCUUCUUCAAAAUCUCCAUUUUCUGCAACUUUUUCAUCUAUCAAAUCUUCAUUGUAAUUUCUUUCUGCAAACAAAUCCAUAGAAACAUCUCUUUCAUCAACCCAAACAACAUUUUUUGUGUUUGAGAUGUGAAUUGAGGUUUUUGUUUGUUUUUCAAUCAACUUCAAUUAAGUGUAUUCCUGUUUCGAAUGAAUUUCAAAUUUUUGAUUUCAAUCGGAACUCUUGUUUUUGGAUUUUCAAACUGUUGUAUUUGGAUUUCCAAAAUCUAUUAUCUACCGAAGUUGUUACUAGGUUGAGUCGCGACCAGGUCGCUCUCUUUAAGACGUUUCGCGGCACUGCCCAAAAUUGUGCAAGGCAGACUAUCAACCACGCCGCCUCCAGAAUAAAACAAGCCCAGCUACUACUGUUUGAUUAACUAAUGCACUGUAGAAAAUCGUUCGAGAAUUACACCUCCAAAUAUGGUGCUAAGACCACUCUUUAAUACUGAAACCACUUUAAUAUGGUAUUGUUACCACUCUGUUAUGGUGCUGAGACCACUCAAAUAUGGUAUUAACACCAUUCUAACUUUAAGUUCUCCAAACUAUCAAUAUGGUACUACGACCACUCAAAUAUGGUGAUACCACCAUUUCUCCUCAAAUAGAAAAAUAUUGAAAUACUUUUUAUAUAUACCCUUAAGAUCAUUAUUAAUUCCGACGGAACAUUGUUAUUCCAAAUAGGGACUAUGAUCUUAAAAGUACUCUUUAUUCUGAAGGGACAUAUAUUAUCGAAGAGAUUAUGUUUUAAGACCAUUCUUAAUUCCGAAGGGACAUUAAACCGAAAAGGGACUAUGGUCUUAAGAACAGUCUUAAUUCCGAAGGGACAGAAAGGAGUAGAAAAAGGAGAAUGACUUGUCAACACAAGUCGAAUGAGGGAGAAGAGAGGAAAAACACAGAAAACAUCAACUGUGAAUUUCGGUGUGUUUUUGAACUAAGUGGAGUCCUCUAUUUAUAUAGAGAUUCUGUAACUGUUUUAGCAAAAAUUGCGACAACAGUUACUCUAAUGGAUAAGAUUAAAAUGAAGUUUAUCCAUUAAUCAGUUCAACAACACUUGUGAAUAGGAUGAAAAGAAACAAAUCCACAAAAGUGGAGGAAACAAACUAUUGGAUUUGAAUGAAGGAAAUAUAAUAAUAAUUAAAUUAUUAUUCUUAUCACAACCACCAUAAGCUAAAUUUAUGUAAAGUGAUAUUCUCGAAUAAAUUAAUAAUUAAUAUUAUUUUUAUCAUUACCAAGUAUUUAAAAUUAAAUACCACAAUUUAAGCACUACUAAUGUGUGUGUUCUAUUUUAUGUGAGACCCCCACACUCUAUUUUUUCAAUUCACACAACAUUAGAUCAUAGUAUAAUUACUUGGUGUUUAAUCUUCCAAUUUUUUAUCCAACAUCACAUCAAUGUUCCAACAAUUCCCCACUUGAAUUUUAAAAAUGGUUUCAAUAAUAACGUCAAAACGUUUCUAUAAGGUUGCUAAUAAACAAAGGUGUCGCCUACAACUUGAACCUUUGCAUAGCGGAUAAUAUUCUGAUUUAACAAGAGUUGCUUACAGCAUUGAACUCUAUCUCAGACAUAGAACCCACACACAAACCUUUUCCUAAGGUGUAUUCUAAAAGCUCGUGCGUUUUAUGGCCUUGCACGUCUAUCCCGGUUUUAACGAACGUUCUAGGUAUUCUGCCCCGAAUACCAUAGGAAUCGGCCUAAGUUCCACAUUCGUAUAGGUGAGUCUAUCAAGAGUACUCCUGUAGCUAGGUACUCCACUCCACAUAGAGUAUAGAUCUCAUUAAGAGUUUCUAUUAUCUCAUCCUUAUGUCACUGCAGGAAUCAUGCUUUCUUACUUUUCUCAUGCAUGUUCUUUCACUCAUGACUUGUCAUUACCCAUUGAACCUAUUUCUUGGGAUCUCCAAUCAUGUAGGUCGGGUUACCAUUACUAGUGACCUUUGGGCAUUAGUCCCAUAUUCCUAUUGGAUGUGUUUAGGACUUUUUUUCUAGUAAUUCCUUUCGUCAAAGGAUUGACUAAUUCUUUAUUUGUACGUGCACGAUAUACUUUAACCGUUCCUUUUAGAGCUCUCUAAUUAUUCUGUGUUCGUGCCUUAAUUAUCGUUUCUCACCAUUGUGGUAAUGAUUCUCAAUUUUGUAAUAGAUGCAAACUAUCACAAUAAAUUAACACUUCGGACAACGGUUUCACCCACUGAGGGUUCUUAGCUAGCAAGCAUCUUAUCAACUUGCUUCUUCACUAGUUUUCUCUAGUGUUCUCAUCUCAGAAUCAUUCCAUAAUAUCAUUUGUUUCAACAAAUAACUCCUCCAGUGAUGCUCAAUUGGCAGUCACUGGUCGCUUUGAGACUCAUCUGAAGGAUGUUCAAUUUUUUUUUUUAUCUUGUACUACUCAUGUACAAUAUGAUACUUCUCAUUUGUAUCUUGUAACAUUCAAGUACAAUAGGAUACUUCUCAUAAUGUAAUCCUAGAGUCAUAAUCUUCUUAAGGCACCUCAUGACUCUUUCAAUAGCAUGACAAUGCUUCUCAUCUGUCUACUAGUAAACUUGAACAAAAGUCUUACGACGUGGCCAAUGUCGAGUCUAAUACAUUCAAUGGCAUAUAUAAAGACUGCCAAUGAUGCUUACCCUCAAGUGUUCUUGAAAAGCUUUACACUUGCAAGUUUAUAGUCAAAGAAUUACAUUUCCUUAAGAUAUUCUCAACUUUGUGAGAUUCAUCAGAAAAGUUUUCUUUUUUGAUCUAGUAAUCUUGAAACCAAGAAUUACUUCACCUUUGUCUAGGUCUUUCUUAUCAAUGUUGUUGAUAAACAAUGAUUUCACAUAAUUCAUAACAUGAAUCUUUAAACCAAAUAUGAGCAAGUCGUCUUCAUAGAGACAUAUGAUCGUGCAAAUAUUAUUUGUCACUUUCAUUCACUUUAUACUCAUUCGAUAGCAUUAGAAUGUCAAAUUUUUCAUGUCAUUCUUUAAGAGUUUAUUUUUUACCUCACAAAGAAUUAUCUAACUUACAAAACUUGUUUUCUAGUCCAUGAAUCACAAAACCUUCAGGUUGUUUAAUAUAGACUUCUUCUUCUAGUUCACCAUAAAGAAGGCAACUUUCACAUCUAUUUGGAAUACUAUCGAGUUAUGAACGGCGGCAAAAGGGACUAGUACUCUUAUGGAUAUGAUACUAGUGACUGGUGAAUAAGUGUCGAAGAAUACUAUAUUUUUCUGUCUAAAACAUUUGACUACAAGGAGAGCCUUGUAUUCAUUGAACCGUAUCAUCAGGUUUUAGUUCUUUUUCCUAAAAUCCAAAUACAACCGGUUAGUUUGCAACUAUGAGACAAGUCAACCAAGUGUCUUGUUUUGUUAGACUCUAGAAAAUCCAUUUCAUCAUUUAUUGCUUCUUGCCAUAAUUCAGCAUCCAAUAAGGAUAUAGCUUCUUUAAGGCUUAAUGGAUAUUCUUCCAAUGUAUAAACCGAGUUCAUACUCUUUAGCUAUUCUAGCUUUCCUACCUCCUCGAGGUUCUAUAACAUCUGGUACGAUGUUUUCAUAACUAUUUAUGAUUACAUGAAUGUGAUCAAAUAUAGUGCCCCCACUAGUUCUUAAUUUUUAGAAGGGAAUUUAUUUUGCCCCCAAUAAUGUUGUGCUCCCACUAGUGCCCCCACUAUUCUUUAGUUAAAGGGGUAAAUAUAUUUCCAUAGAAAUCGACAUCUUUUAAUUCUAUGAUCACUUUAGCAUUUAAGUCAUAAACUUAUAUGCUUCGCUGUUUAUAGCAUACCUAAUGAAUACACAUUCAUAGGCUCUACUAGUGAGUUCAACUCUCUUGGGAUUCAUAGUCAAAAUAUAGUCCAGACAAUCCCAAGUUAAAAAAUAAGACAAGUUGGAUUGUCUUUUCUUCAAAAAUUUCUUAAUUAGAAUUUUUGUUCUUAGACUUGGGUACUCUAUAAAUUUCAAUUUUCGUUAUAAAAAUUGAACAUAUCAAGCAUAUCAAUUUUAUUUUUCAAAAUUCACAGUCAUCAAUAAAUAUGAUAAAAAUAUCCUUUCAUCAUUUCUACUUUAUGUGCCAUCAAAUUCACACAUAUCAUAAUUUAUUAUGUUUAGAGAUUUAUAUCUCUAAAUUCUGAUUUAUAUGAACUUUUGGUUCAUAUAUCUUGACUGCAAUAAAUAAAAUUGUCUAAUCAUAUAACUUUGGAAUUAAAUCCAAGUUACUCAAGUUUAAAAUUAAACGUUUGUUCACAUGACAAAUUUUGAUAUGUCAAAUAUUAAAAUCACACAACUAAUAAAAUAGAAGGAAAAUUUAUUUUGAACAUACCAUCAAGGACACAUCUUUUCCCACAAUAAUGCAUGAUGCACAAAUCUUUCUUUAAGUUUGAGCUAACUCAGUCUUAUUCAAUAGAAAUCUGAAAUUCAGAUUCUUUCUUAUUUUAAAAGCAUGCAACAAGUUCCAAACCUUAACAUUAGCAUCAAGGGAAAAUGGGUAUUCUAAAUUCUUGCAUUUUAAUAUGCUAACUUGCGACUCUGUAUACCCAACAAUAUGCCAUAAAAGUACCUAUAGCAUUUAUAUAAGGGAACUUCUACGGUACACUCACAAAGUGAGGUGUACCGGUACUCUUGCUCAAUAAUUUUAUAAAUUAACGAUCAUUUUUUGUGAAAUAAAUAACUAUUUAUCAACAUUUAUAUUUUAUAGAACAUUAUUUCAUAAGAAAAAACAUCAUUGCAUUGUUUAUAAGAAUUUUAGUAAUAUUUUUACAUAUUAUCGUAAAAAAAUAAUCAAUGUUCUCGAUUAUGGGUGAUAAAAAUUCAAAAAAUAUUAAUUUUAAUUCGUUGACACUUUUGAUGAAUAAGAUUUAGUUAUUAUAAUUAUAAAUGAUAAAAAAAUAAUUUUUUUUUAUCAAAAAACAACUCAUUUAACUAUUAGUUUAAAGAGUGGAUGUACCGGUACACUCAAAUAUAUUGGAUGUACCAUAGAAUUUCGCUUUUGUAUAAUUCGUUGCAUAAGUAAUAAGUUAUGGCCAUUCUUCUUACUGUUUGAAAAAACUGACAUAGAUUUUUCAAUUCUGGUUACUGUUUUAGUGACAAACUAAACUUGUUUGGUUCUAUAACGAAUAAUUUGUUUUGUAACAAAUUAUAGUCUUAAUCAAAUAUUGUUCGAUUUUUUAUUUUAUUCACGGUAUGAUUUUGAUUUUUGAAAACAAAUUUCAAUCAAAUUCAGAGUCACAUUAGUGAAUUUCUUAGUGUUAUUGUUUAUAACUACAAUCACUUUUUCAGUCAAAAGAUGUAUUUAUAUAGUUUGACACAUUAUUUUUGGAUUUCCAAACUGUUGUAUUUGGAUUUCCAAAUUCUAUUAUCUAACGAAGUUGUUACUAGGUUGAGUCACGACCAGGUCGCUCUCUUUAAGACGUUUUGCGGAACUGCCCAAAAUUGUGCAAGGCAGACUAUCAACCACGCCGCCUCCAGGAUAAAACAAGCCCAGCUACAACUGUUCGAUUAACUACUGCACUGUAGAAAAUCGCUCGAGAAUUACACCUCCAAAUAUGGUUCUAAGACCACUCUUUAAUACUGAAACCACUUUAAUAUGGUAUUGUUACCACUCUGUUAUAGUGUUGAGACCACUCAAAUAUGAUGUUAACACCAUUCUAACUUUAAGUUCUCCAAACUAUCAAUAUGGUAAUACGACAACUCAAAUAUGGUGAUACCACCAUUUCUCCUCAAAUAGAAAAAUAUUAAAAUACUUUUUAUAUAUACCGUUAAGAUCAUUCUUAAUUCCGACGGGACAUUGUUAUUCCAAAUAGGUACUAUGAUCUUAAAAAUACUCUUUAUUCUGAAGGGACAUAUAUUAUCGACGAGACUAUGUUUUAAGACCAUUCUUAAUUCCGAAGGGACAUUAAAACGAAAAGGGACUAUGGUCUUAAGAACACUCUUAAUUCCGAAGGGACAGAAAAGGAGUGAAUAGGCCAAAAACCCCCUGAAAUUGUAACUUUCGUCAAAAAUCCCCCUGAUUUUUAAGAAACUUCAAAAACGCCCCUGAAAUUAUCAAACGUCAGUCAAUUACCCCCCUCCGUUUGUUUUGGCUGUUAAAUGACUAUUUUUUAAUUUCUUUUUGCUUUCUUCAUCUUCUUCCUUCCACUUUUUUCAUCAUCUUCAUCAAUAUUCAUAAAAAAAUCCAGAAAAAUUUUAAGAAACAACAACCAUUAACAACAUCAUCAUUAACAUCACACACUUUAUAAUGAUUCUCUCUCUCUUGUUUGUUACCUUCUUGAAUUAAUCAACAACAACCUUUUGGAAUUCAUCAACAACAAAAUGAAUAAUAGAAAAGAUCAUGAACUUGUUUGAAAAAGAACAAGGUUUAUGAUGAAUAGCAUGGACAACAACAUCAACAGCAACGGUUCUUCUCAUUCUCAUGAUGUUACUGUUCCAUCAUCACUCAUGUCUCCUCUUCAGAAUCAAUCACUUUUUAACCCUCAUUCAAAUGGAUUUCUUUUUUGGAGCAGCGAUGAGAUUACCAACAACAAUGAUCAUCAUCAUCAAUUGUCUCUUGAUCUUUCUGCUACGACCCUUUUGGAUAACAAUGAGCAACAAACAAGAGAAGCUAGUAAUGAGAUGAUGAUGAUGUUGUUAAUGGUUGCUGUUUCUUAAUUUUUUUCUGGAUUUUUUAUAAAUAUUCAUGAAGAUGAUGAAAAAAGUGGAAGGAAGAAGAUGAAGAAAGCAAAAAAAUAAAAAAUAGUCAUUUAACAGCCAAAACAAACGGAUGGGGGUAAUUGACUAACGUUUGGCAAUUUCAGGGGGGUUUUUGACGAAAGCUACAAUUUCAAGGGGGUUUUUGCCUAUUUACUCGACAGAAAAGAGUAGAAAAAGGAGAAGGACUUGUCAACACAAGUCGAAGGAGGGAAAAGAGAGGAAAAACACAGGAAGCAUCAACUAUGAAUUUCGGUGUUAAAAUGAAGUUUAUCCAUUAAUCAGUUCAACAACACUUGUGGGUAGGAUGUAAAGAAACAAAUCCACAAAAGUGGAGGAAACAACUAUUGGAUUUGAAUGAAUGAAAUAUAAUAAUAAUUAUAUUAUUAUUCUUAUCACAACCAACAUAAACUAAAUUUAUGAAAAGUGAUAUUCUCGAAUAAAUUAAUAAUUACUAUUAUUUUUAUCAUUACCAAAUAUUUAAAAUUAAAUACCAUAAUUUAAACACUACUAAUGUGUGUGUUCUAUUUUAUGUGGGACCCCCACACUCUAUUUUUUCAAUUCACACAACAUUAGAUUAAAAUAUAAUUACGAUAUUUAAUCUUCCAAUUUUUCAUCCAACAUCACAUCAAUGUUCCAACAUUUACCAUUGACACGCCAAAAUAUAACUGUUAUAUAAACGAACAUUUCUUUGGUUUUGUUAUACAUAGAUAAAACAGUUAUUUCAUAGUUAAGCAUGGUUGCAAAGCAUUUGCUUUUAAUAGCAGAAAAAAUAAUCAUAUAAUAAGGAACGUCGACCAAUAUUACAUUACCAAAACUUAGAACUCAUCAUAUUAUCUAAUUUAUCUGAAUCUUAUUGCCCUUUUAUAUUUUGUAAAACAAAAGUUUAAGAUGCAAGAACAAAUCUCUUUAAAAAUUAUAAGCAAUUAUAACAUAUGGUAAAAGUAACAAAAACUUUAUAAUUAUAUUAAGCAUGAAGACUCGUACAUAUUGAUUGAAUACAUAGUUCAAUACUGAAAAGAAAAAAAACUAAAAGCACCACAUAAUAGAUCCUUUCAGAAUUUAAAACGCAAAUUGAUACGAAGCUGACAGAUUUCGUAAAUUCCAUUCAUCUUUUUCAAACACGCAUACGACUAACAUAGAGAGUCUUGUUGAAGCCGGGAGCUGGAGCACCGAUCUUUAUCGUUUCACCCUGCUGAAUUCUUCAUGCAUCUACCAUCCUUUUCAACUGAAGCAAGAUUAUUAUGGGAGUAAUGGCUAUACCAGUGAGGAAUUGGUAGGAGAGCAAUGCUAGGAGUGGACGAUCUCCCAUGCUUGAAACAGGUAUGUUACGAAUUUGCUUGGAACAAUGGCAAAUCAAGCUGCUCACGCAACAUGGCUUAUAUAGUGCAAGCAUGGACAUGCGAAAGAGGGAGGGGUUUAAAUCUGCAUAGAGAAGCCGAACUGUUAUGUUUGGAAAAUGUAACAGAUGAUUGAAUUGAAUUGAAUGUCUUAAAUGCAAUGGAAUUUACAUGGCUCGGCUGAACUGAAGGGUUGAGGGUGGGAAACUUCAAUUUCAUAGUGCAAUGCUGAUUAAGAAAAACACUUAGUGGGAAAUAUGAAUUGCGGCUAUAAUGGGAAUUAAAUAACCAAGAAAUUAGUGUUAGGGGAAACUUCAGUUUUUCCUUUUCAUUACAUUGUAACUUACAAAAAAUAGUUAAUAACUACAAAAUGAGAAAUAUGAUUUGCGGCUUGUCAUACCUCAUAUUUGAUUCCGAGUCGGGCUCUCUUCUCUCAAUUAUUCUAUUUACUACUUCUAUUUUUUAAACUUCCAUCUUUUAUUAAUUUUCUUUUUAAUUCUAAAUUGAAUUUUAGUCCCUUGGUCUUAUUUAUCUUUUUAUUUUCCCAUAAAAAUCCAAAAAUAUACAUGUUCAUUCCUUUUUAUUAUUUUUUAAGUGAUAAGUCCAAAAGAAAAGUCCCAAACACAGCUCACAAACAGCUAAUCCCAGCCUGUAAUGUCUCCUCUCCAAGCAACAAAAUUUUGCUCUAUAAAUACAAGCAACCCAUAUCGCAACCAAAUCAAAUCCGUACAAAACCGAACCUCAUCAACAAACCUACACAGAUCCAGAUCAAGAAAAAAAAACAAUAAAAAGGUAGUAACCCUUUUUGUAGAUCUAGGGUCCGUUAAACCUCAUUUCAAAAAACCGUUUUCAAAAAAGAGAGGAGAAGGGAAAGGGUAAUCUUUUGGUAAAAAAAAUCAAAAAAAGGAGGAGUUUUUAACUCCGGCGCGGUGGCGCCGCCGCGAAAACUCGCCGACCACCGCGCCGGAACUAUCUCCGGUAGCCUCUCCUCGUCGAAGAAGAUGAAGAAAUUCUAGAGAGAAGGCAGAGCUUCUCUCUCUAGAAAUGAGAGAAGAGAGAGAAAAAGAAAUAAAAAUGAACAUAAAAAACCGGAGCUGGCUAUUUAUAAAGGGAUUGAACCGGUUCAACCUUUAAACCGGUCUGAACCAGUCUAAUCCAAGCCCACACGCGUCUGGCCUCACCCAAGGCCCAAAUCCUCUUCAUUUUAUUUUCUGCACCCCCCUUUACUGCUCACACACCCUCAGCAUCUCUUUUUUUUUUUUUAAUUUCUUUUUCAUGCAUUUUAAUUCUCUCUCUAUCCAGAUUGCUCUGGUCCUAUAUUAACUGUUAAUAUUAUAUUUUUGUUUAAUUUAAUUAUUCUCUAGAACAAUCUGGUCCUUGUUAAAAUGAACAUAAAAAAGAGAGAAGAGAGAGAAGAAGAAAUAAAAAUGAACAUAAAAAACCGAAGCUGGCUAUUUAUAAAGGGAUUGAACCGGUUCAACCUUUAAACCGGUCUGAACCAGUCUAAUCCAAGCUCACACGCGUCUGGCCUCACCCAAGGCCCAAAUCCUCUUCAUUUUAUUUUCUGCACCCCCCUUUACUACUCACACACCCCCAGCAUCUCAUUUUUUUUUUUAAUUUCUUUUUCAUGCAUUUUAAUUCUCUCUCUAUCCAGAGUGCUCUGGUCCUAUAUUAACUGUUAAUAUUAUAUUUUUGUUUAAUUUAAUUAUUCUCCAGAACAAUCUGGUCCUUGUUAAUUAAAUUAAUCCAGAGUGCUCUGGUCCUAAUUAACUGUUAAUAUUAUAUUUUUGUUUAAUUUAAUUAUUCUCCAGAACAAUCUGGUCCUUGUUAACUAAAUUAAUCCAGAACAAUCUGGUCCUUGUUAAUUAAAUUAAUCCAGAGUGCUCUGGUCCUAAAUUAACUGUUAAUAUUAUAUUUUUGUUAAUCCAGAGUGCUCUGGUCCAAACUUAAAAUGUUAAUAUUUAUUUAUUUUUGUUUAAUUUAAUUAUUCUCCAGAAUAUUCUGGUCCAUGUUAAAAUAACUUCACAAUUCAGCUUAACUUCAUUUUUCUCAUUCUGCUUAUAUAAUUUUCAUAUCUUUAUUCCAAAACAACAAAAAUAUUCAAAUAACAAAUCACAAAAAUAUUUUUUCAUUACAAACCUUGAUUCUCAAAUCAAGUGAUCGUUCUUUUUAUUCUUCUUAAUCAAAUUUCAAAUCAAGUCUAAUUCAACUUCAAGUCAAUUUCUUUCAAUCUAAAAAACACAAACCAAUUCUCAUUCGUCACUUGGCUUUUUAUUUCAAAACCUUUUUCAAAACAUAUAAAAAACACAAAACCAAUCAAACGUCAAUUUCUACCCCGAACUACGAGGUUUUGAUCCCUCACAGGUACGUAGGCAGGGGACCUUGUCCUUCCAAAUGAAUUAAAAAACAAUUUUCUUUUUUUUUCUUUUCAACUUUCAACUAAAAAAUAUUUUUCUUUUUUUCUCUUCAAUUAAAAUCAAUUUUCUUUUCUUUUUCAACUCAUCAUUCAAUUCCAUUUUCCAUCUCUUUAAAAGCAAGCAAGUUGUAGCACCAAAAGUUAAAUAAAAUCAAGAGGUUCUCGUAGAGUACUAUGAAUAUUUAGGGUGCUAAUACCUUCCCUAAAUAUAACCAACCCCCGAACCCUAAAUCUUUUCAAAAUGGAUGGUUUGGAACUUUUUCCCCUUAAAAAAAAAUUUGUUCAGUCGUGAGAUAAAAAGUGAGUCAAAAGUCAAUCAAAUGGCCUUGACGUCCGAAAAAUGGCGCGACACGGCUGUAAUGAGAAUUAAAUAAGCAAGAAAUUAGUGUUAGGAGCAACUUCAAAAAAUAGGAAAAAUUGAGCAAAGGACCUGAAACAACAUAAAGCUUUAAAAAAUAGGAAAAGAUAUUGAAAACAGACGUCGUAAUUGUGAGAAAAAAAUAAGCAUAUCACCUAUCAAGCAGUGAUAGGACAUCAGAGUUUCAAUACCACGACAUUCCAUUGCAAUGAUAGAAAAAUGGACGAGAUUGAAUUUUUUUAAGGCGUAUAGUUGUGAUAAAAAAUUACGGUAUCACUAGAAUCAAGAGGCGCUAAAGCUUUAAGUUGCGUAGGGAGCUUUAAUCAUGCGCAGGAGUCAAAUGUGUGAAUUAAAUGCGAUAGAAUAAAUUCUGAUCGAUUGAUUAGGAAAUGCUCUCAAAUUUGAAAUGAAGUGCUUUAAAUUAUUUAAUGUAUGAAAAACAAUUUGAAAUAAAAUGAAUUUAUUGCGUGUUAAAAGGGUGAGAAGGUCAAACCUGUGAAUUAACUGCGUGGGAGGGAAAUUGCUAGGUUAGAUUUAGGGUUAGGGUUAGCUUGACCAGACAAACUUUAGUAAGUAAGAUUUGAUUUUUUUUAUUCAUUACAUAAAUGAUAUAUUUGGUUUAUAUUUUAGACAAGAUACAUCAAUUACUUAAUGAAUCUAAAAAGUUAAAUUUUUCUUAUAAAUAAAACCGGAAGAAGUACCAUGAACAAUAACAAUCUUUCACAGUAAUAUGUUUAGUGCCACGUGAGUCCUGUAUUUUCUAUGUUCUUGUAGGACGUAAAAAGGUUCAAAACUUUGUUUGUUGAGAGAGAAAAUAUGUGUUCCCAUUUAUGGGACAUUCUGAGUAUGAUUGGUGUUAUUGUUUGAUAGUGGGGAGGAGUGAUUGUCUUCUAACUUCUAAGUUCUAACAAUUAGGUUAGGGUUAAAUAUAAAUAAAAUAAAAUAAAUUCAAAGGGGUGGUUGGAUGAUUGGGGUGUGGUAUCCUCAUGGGGGUUGCACGUGAUGUCUCAAAUCACUAACCCGUAAUUAGUAAUUAGUGUUCACAUGAUUGGGUGCAUAAACCAUAUAGAUUCAAUAAUCAUAUUUAUUAGGGUAUAAGUCUUUCUUUGAUGUUGUUUGUAAGAGUUGUACUUCUUCGUUCGUCAGUUUAAUGUACUUUAUCGAUGAAUUUUUAUAGAAAUAUCAUCCGUAAAUUUAAAAGGAGAGGUAAGAACGGAAUACACAUUAUAACGCAUUCAUCAUUUUUUUGGAAAAGCUUAAUAAUCAUCGUUACAAAUACAUAGUCUGAUGCAAAUUUAUACAUGAUUUCUCCCGAAGAAAUAUCUAUCUAUACUAUAUAGUGGCAAGAUAGAUAAAUACACCAUUAUAUCAACACACAACAUUAUUUUUAUUCAUGAAAUAUAUUACUGAGAAAGAGUACAUGGUGCAUGAAGAUAGAUAUCAUUAUGAUCAGUUUUGAGUUUUGUCCUCAGUUUGCUCGGCACCGUGACCACCGUGACCACCUCCACCAUGUCCCCCGUGUCCACCUCCACCGUGGUUGUAACCACCUCCACCGUGGUGGUAACUACCUCCUCCAUGGUUGUAACUACCUCCACCAUGGUUGUAACCACCACCAUAUUUGGCAUCAUUUACUUCAUUAGUCUUUUCCUCAGUUUGCACGGCAACAGAUUCAGCAGCACCAUGACCACCGUGACCUCCUCCACCAUUGUAACCACCUCCACCGUGACCUCCGUGGCCUCCACCACCAUUGUAACCACCUCCGCCAUGGUUGUAACCACCUCCACCGUGGUUGUAACCACCUCCGCCGUGGUUGUAACCACCACCAUUGUAACCUCCUCCACCAUGGUUGUAGCCACCUCCACCGUUGUUGUAACCACCACCACCAUGGUUGUAACCACCUCCACCGUUGUUGUAACCACCACCGCCGUGGUUAUAACCUCCACCAUUAUAACCACCACCACCGUGGUUGUAACCUCCACCAUAGCCUCCAUAUUUGGCAUCGUUUACUUCAUUAGUCUUUUCAACAACUUCUGAAACACGAUAUAUAUGAAUUGUUAAAUCAUUACUUCAAAUAUAUAUGAAUUUAAUGGUAGUGGGUUGACGAUAUAAAAUAACUUUGUAUACAAGACUAAUCAAAAUAUUUCAAGUUUCCCUGCAAAUUAAAAAAUAUUAAUUGAUGUGGUGAUUCUAAAUAUUUUCAAUGGUUUUGUGUGCAAAAAUUUUUUGAACCAUCAACCAACCACCAUUAAACUUAAUAUAUAUAUAUAUAUAUAUAUGAUUAUGUAUUCACACCGGCGUAAUGUUUGAAUAAUUUUACAUUUCUCACAAACUUAUUGAAUAUAGAAUUAUACCAAAUUUAAAAAGACUCACAAUUGAAUAUAUAAUAUAAUUAUAUCAUAUUGAUCAUCUUUGUAAGUUAUGAAGCAAAUUUGAAAUCAUUUUAUAUAAAAUUGAGUGCAUGAAGAUUAACGUUUACAUAGAAAAGAAUUAAUUAUAACGUAUAAAAUUAUAUAAUUAAGUAUAAAAGAAUUAUCCUUCAAAAAAGUAGAAAAGAAUUAAAACAUAUAUCUAAAACGCUCAUGAAAACAUAUAUAAAGAAACAUAAUAUAAUAUAUAGCUCACCCUUUUUAGUAUCAGUGGAAGUUUCAGUUAAGUCCCUAGCGGACAUCACUGAGGAAAUAAGAGCCAUAGCCAAUAGGCCUAGCAUGAGGAUUGCCUUUUUCGAAUCCAUUGUUCAAAUGUGAUAUUUAGUAGUGAACGAUGAGAAAAACUAGUAAGAAGUGUACUCUAUAUAUAAUGGAGGGAAGGAGGGAGAUGUAGGGACCUUCACUUGGCAGUUGAGAAGGUAGCUCUUGUGUAUUAAUUCAUUACUUUGUAGGUUCAUAAUGUAUCUAGUCAUAUUAUAGAUCAGAUACAUUUCAUCAGCAAUUAUAUUGAUGAAACUUCUUCUUGUUCUUGUUCUUGUCGAAUGAGUCUUCAACUAUUGCUUCAUCUUCACCUCUCAUCAGCAAUUCCAACGAGCCUUCCACUUUUUCUUCCUUUUGAAAAUUCAUGAAGUCUUUUUAUUUUUCUUCUCUCAAAUAUAUUCUUUUACUUUUCACUUGAGAUUUUUAACAAUUGCUACUCAUCUUAUUUAUAGAAUUUUAACUCUUCUUAGAACCAUUGUCUAUAACAAAAUUUUGUUUAAAUUUGAAGAUAAUGAGAAACAAACUUUGUUUAAUAAAAAACUUUGUUCCAAAGAGAUAGCAUUAAUUUAGUUUUAUUGAAAAAGAUAAGAGUAAUUGAUAAAGGAUAUAAUUGAAAAAUCGUACGCUUAAAAUACCAAAAAGACAGUUAAAUAGUAACGAAAAAUUCAUCCAAAAAAGACACUUAAAAAGAAACGGAGGGAAUAGUAUUUCAUAUCUUAUUUAUGUAUUAACAAAAAAUAUAAAAUUUUGAUAUUUUAAAAAUAUUCGACAAAUACAAAAAUAUCUUAUAUAUUAUCAUUUGCCUAUAUAAUAUACGAUAGUAAAAAAAAGAUGAUUAAAGUAUGUUAGGUAAAUAAUGCAUUUAGUCACUUGUUUUAGAAUAGAGUAGUUGUAAAGAUUGAAGGCUAUGAAAAUGGAGAUGAGUUAUGUCUACUUGCUAUUGGCUGAAAGUGACAUUUUGAAAGCAUGCUAUUGGUUCAUACUAGCUAUCUCAUCCCAUGGAGAUACAUACAUUCAAACUUAUCCAGACACAUUCAUAAUAUGUUUUCUAUAACUAAACAAAAUUAGCAAAAGAGUAUUACAGAGGUAGACUCUAAACUUUUUAAAGAACAGUGAUGUUGAAUACUUGUUUGAGAAAGUCGUGUGUAGGCAUAAUCAUUUAGACACAAAGUUUAGGCACAUACACAUAAAUAAAUAAAAUUAAAAGAUAAAUAAAAUAGUUACAUCAAUCAAUAUCACUUUAAUUAUUUUCUUUUUAAUGUUUUAUUUCAUAGGUGUGUGCCUAAAUGUGAGAUGUUGGUCUUGUGAUCAAGUUAGAGUUUCUCAACUAGCUUUUACCGUCGUAUAAUUUUAUUUGCUUCAAACGAUUACACAAAUUAAGAAAGAAUCUAUGUUUCUCAACUAUAUUAAGAAAACGAGUUGUUAGAACUAAAAUAUCGAAAUAUAAAAUAUGAAUAAAUGCUUUCUUAAUUCAAAGAGCAAUGAUAUCGAAACAUAAACUUUGCAAUUUGGUUAUUAGUUGAAUAUAAUCCGGAUGUACGAUCUUGGAUCGACGGCUGAGAUUAUUUUUCCGUGUAAAAUUAAUUUUAUAAUUUGAAUAAUUGAAUCACAAAUCAAUGGUCAAGAUUCACUACAUCGUAAAACUGCGUGUUGUUUUUCCAGCAUGGAAUUUGGGUCCCUAUACUCCGAUUCAUCACAAUAAUGAAAUAGAACUAUAAAUAACCUAUCGUUACAGAGGUAAACACAAUUGACUGAACUACAUGCAUGAACAAAAACCAAGUCUUAUUUUCACGUGAUUUUUGUUUCUUUCAUACCGGUUGUGGUUCUAAAACCUUCCUAAUUGAUUCUUACAUCCACCCUUAGCUAAGAUUCUUAUUUGGGACUUGGGAGUGUCACUCCGAAAGUGAUACUAUUAGAGGACACAAUUGAAAAAAUAUAUAUCAUACUGAAAAUUUAAUGUGACAAUUAUUUUACGAUAACUAUUUACAUAUAUGUCACUCAUCGUUUAACGAAAUAUGGUAAUGAUUUUUCUAAACACCAAACAUUUUGUUAUGACAAUAAUAUUUUAGUUUUUAUUAAAUAAGUAACUUUUUUUACAAAGGAAAACUUAGGUGAGUUGGACUCCAAGCAUUAAAAAUAUAGUUACAAAGCACACAUAACUAAAAGAUCUUUAUAUUAACAACGGAGAUUGAACUUACGAUGAUGUCAAUCAACUCAUUAACAACUGAAUCAACAUUCGCUAACGACCACGACCCACGCCUUCCCCUCCCUUACUGUUCAACUGAAGUACUAUGUUGAAUUAAAUUGCCAGCAACAAACGAUAACGAGACUCACCCACUUAUUCGAGUUUUCCUUUUCCUUCAAUUCUAACAAAAUUUAUGCAUUUAAAUAUUUAAUGUUUCUUUGUUUUUUCCUAUAGAUACAAAUUUGCGGGUAUGAGCAUUUAAUGUUAAGCAAAAAUAUCGCCAAAUAACAUUGCAAUUUGUGAAAAAUAUCAUGAUUAACGAUCUACUCGUCCAUGGAUUAACGGCGGUAACAUUGUUGCUGGCUCCAUUAUUAGUAAUUAGUUCUAUGGUCGACUCAAAUGAUCUAAACUGUAAACUUAACUUCAAAUGUUUGCUAGAACUGCAAGACAGAAAAAGAAAGAAAAGAAAAACAUAUGUAACGUGAAAAUUGAAAGUAAGUUCCAGAUUGUAUGAUAAAAAGUAGAGUUGUUUGGUAAAGCCUAUAAUUAGUACCAUUGUUUUAUCAUAAAUUUAUUUUGAGAUAUUUUUUUCUUUUUUGCAUAAUUUUAUUAAAAUUGAGGUGUUGUAAAUAUUUUUAUGAUCUCUUACAUUUAUUAACGGUGGAUCAUUUGGAAAACAUCAAAAUUUCAAUUAUAGCUGCAUAAUUUUUAGUUAGACUUUCUUUACUUCCUGACCAUCAGGGGUGGGAAUAGGUUAGGCCGAGUUAGGCUUUGCAAGGCCUGAGCCUGAUCUGUCAAAUUUUAUGAAGGACUAAGUCUGGUCUGCGGUCUGUCAUAAACUUACUUUUUAGGUCUGAGUCUAACCUUCUGAAAGUUUGAUACGGUCUGCUAGCCUGUUUAAAAGCAUAUUUCAUAUAAACAUCUUUAAAUAAGCAAUGUUAUCUAAGUUUAAAUAGACUAACGAACUAAUAUAUCAAAUAGAUUAAACUCUCUUUUGAUAAUCAACAUGACUUUUUAGAGAAUUUGAUUAUAUAUUGUAUCAUAUUUCAAUUCUACUUUAUAAUAAUACAUUUAAAUAUGCAAAAAUAUAAUGUAUACUAAUAAACUUAAAUUACUAAAUUACUGAAAAAGUUAACAAAUUUUUAUUUUAAUUCAAAGUACAAAAUAUAAUAUAAUAAUAAAUAAUAUUAUUCAUAUUUAGGCUUAAUUACCUUUUUGAUCCUCUAACUAUUUAGUUGGUAUCAGAUUGAUCCUCUAACUAAAAAUUGAUUUAUUUCGGUCCUCUAAGUUUCUCACUGUUAUUACAUUUAGUCAUUUCUGUUAGUUUUAUUCAAAUAAACGUUAGAGUUUGUGUUAUGUGGGUAUCUGACCUCCUGUUUCACACAUACAUAUGAACCAUAACAGUUACCAAUAAUAUCAGUCACUAUUUAAUCAUAAUACCUUAACAAUGAAUAUGACCAAAAUGAUACUAAUAAAUAAAGUUAGAGGACCCAUAUAACACAAACCCCAACGUUUAUUUGAAUAAAACUAACAGAAAGGACUAAAUAUAGUUAUAGUGAGAAACUUAGAGGACCGAAAUAAAUCAAUUUUUAGUUAGAGGACUAAUCCGAUACCAAUUAAAUAGUUAGAGGACCAAAAAGAUAAUUUAGCCUCAUAUUUACUUAAAUAGUCCGGCCUAAUAGGCCUAAAAGGCUUUUAGAAUGACAUGUGGUCUGACCUUUUAAGCUAAAUGGGCUUCUAAAAAAGUCUAGGCCUUCUCUGUUUAGGAAAAAAGUAUGAUCUGGCCUAGCCUAUCGUAUGUAUGCUAGGUCGUAGGCCCCUGUAGGCUGGCCUGACCUAUUCCCAUCCCUACUGACCAUACUCGGAUCACUAAGAUAUUUUUCUCACAAAGAUAGAGAUAUAAGACCGAAAAACACAAUUACGUACACUUAUUCGUAAAACAAUCUUACGUACACUUGUUUGUAAAAUGAGAUCAACCAUGAUAAUAAACAUGUUUUAAUUUCAUAAACAUAUUUAACAUUUUUUUUUAUCACAUCAUUAAACUAUCAUAUAUUAAUUUAUUUAUUUUUUCAUCUUUAUUUUUAAAGCAUACUCCUUUCGUUUUAAAAUAUAAGUAAAUUUUACUUUUUAGGUUCAUUUAAAUAAUGAUGUAUAUGGUUUAUAAUAUGGGUCACAUACAUCAUUAAUUGAAUGAAUUUAAAAAGUAAAAUUUACUUAUAUUUUGAAACGAAGGGAGUAUACAAAAGAUUUUCCAAAUGAGAUAGAAAGAUUUUUCUUUUCAAAUGAAUGAUUGAUCCCAUAUUUAGAGAAGGGGCUAGUUGUUUCCUAUGCAACUAACAAAAUAGACCACUCAUCUGAUAACAAGGAAGUGAGAAGAAUUCACAGAACACUUGGAUAGGUCAUUCAAAAAAAAAAAAAACUAGCAUAAGUCAUUUGGUGCCGCCAUUCAAUUAAUUCAUUUCAUACCGACACUUUGACAAUAUUGAGGCAUCAAAUGCAAUCGUUUUUUAUUUUAUUUUCUAUGAUUAAAAUCGACAUUGUUUUUUGGUGAGAUUCGCAAGUGGCAAGCCACGUAACUGUACAAGUUCAACAUGCAUUUGACUUUAGCAAAACAAAUUUCAAUCUUAGAUUAGAUCACGUGUUUGUUUUCAUUUGUUAGAAUCCAUUUUUCUAGUGUAGUAUCCGUUUAAGAGGAAAUGAAUUUUUAAAGUGAAAAUCUCUCUAACUUUUCUCAAUUGUUAUAUUAAAAUCAUUAAACAUGAAAGAGAAAAAGAGAUAUAAAAUUAUAAAAAAAAAAAUAUUAAACUUAUGUUUUAGAUGUAAUAAUUGAGAAAAAUUAAAACCGUUUCAAUUUUUUUUUUAAAUGGCCAAAUAUUAUUAACCACUAAUAAGCUUGGGUGGUAAAAAAUACAAAGAUUUAUUUCCACAUUAAGAUGGUUGUAGGUUUUUGGGUAAAAUAUGUUUUAAUCAGUCUAAAUAUAUGUGCUUUCAAUUUUAGUCUUACAUAAUUUUAAUAGUAAUUGUAAUUGGUCCUUCAUGUCAAAUGGGUUGCUAUUUGAGGCUUUGAGCUAAAGGAAUUUGAGGGAUUCUUCCAUGCUCACAAGACCAAAUCAAUAGUGAUUGGACAUAAACGCAAAAAGAUGGUCUUUAAAAUAUUCAAUAUUUAAUUAUUCUUUUGGUCCCUUAACUUAUUUUUUGGUUUCGUUUUGGUACCUUAACUAUUAAAAGUUUUAUUUUGGUCCCUUAACUUAUUUUUUGCUUUCGUUUUGGUCCCUUAACUAUUAAAAGUUUCAUUUUGGUCCUUUAACUUACUUUUUGGUUUUGUUUUGGUCCCUUAACUCAUCCUCUGUCAACCACUUUGGUCUUUUAUAUUAGGAUGAAUGUAUUAGAGUUAAGGGACCAAAAUGAAACCAAAAAAUAAGUUAAGGGACCAAAACGAAACCAAAAAGUAAGUUAAAGGACCAAAACGAAAUUUUUAAUAGUUAAGGGACCAAAAUGAAACCAAAAAAUAAGUUAUGGGACUGAAACGAAACUUUUAAUAAUUAAGGAACCAAAACGAAACAAAAAAAUAAGUUAAGGGAUCAAAAGAGUAAUUAAGCCUUUUUUUUUUUUAUCAAUUUCCUCUUUAUUAUUAAAAAACUAUUCUUUUUGUUUGUGUGUCAAACACUUUUUAUUUGGUCAUGUGACCAUAUUAAAAUUUCUCAAGGAAUCAUGACUAGAUACGCCUCGUGGACAUUUUGAUUGACGUACGGUGUUGACUCGUGAAUAAACAUUAGACUCAAUUGUUAUUUCAUAUAUGUAUCAUCGAAAUUUUAGAGACAUUGUUUUAAAACUUACUCUGAUUCAUCAAUUUAUACUUUUUUAAUUUAAACUAUCAUAUGUUUAUUUUAAAAAAAAAUCAUGAAAUAAAAAAAUUAAAAAAAAUAAAAACUCAUGACCAUAUUCUCGAAUCCCAAGUUCCCAAUUUCUUCUACCUAAUUCCAUGAAUAAUAUGAGUGUUUCACAUAUAUGAGUUUGAUUAAUUUUUCACAGUAUUGGGUGUGAGGAAUUUUUCAAGCACUACCGACAAAAGAAAUAGAGAUCACUUCGUCGUUACUUUGCACAACAAUGUCUUAAUCAUUCUAAAAAAACACUCUUCAUAUCUUUAAAUUUAGGCAUUUUCAUGGAAAAGUGAUGUUUGUCUUUAGAAAGUGUACUAAAUUGUCGUUAAGUAGUAAAAUUUAUAAGUUAGUAUCGAUGUAGAUUGUGAAAUCUCAAUUUAACUACUACGAUAAUAGUUUGGAUAUAUACAAUUGGGGGGUGUUUCACUUGGCAAUGGUUGGAUUAACUGUUCUUUAAAGAAAAAGGUAAGACACUGAUUAGGUCAUGAUAGAUCUGCUUCUCUUAAUUACAUAGAAACUUGCCGCCUUGGUUGCAAUUGUUCGAAUAGUUUAGUUUCACGACAUUUGAUCAAAAUAGUUAAGUUAAUUUUUAGUUCACUAACCUUUUUCUCUUGUUACGACCCCCUAAUGUCUUAUGUGAAACUAUAUCAAUUGAAGGCUUGAUUAUAUGCCAAAUUAUUAUCACAAAGCAGUUAGCUCAAGCCCCGAAGCUAAGGUUAGUGGUCAUCGAGACCAAAAUUAGUUUAUGAACAUUCAUAAUCGUAUAAAAAAGCAUUAAGAACAAUUAUAGCUGAAUAAAACCAAGCAAUCAUUUGUAAUCAAAAAACUUUUAUGGUUCGGAUUUUGGGAUAAGGGAGAGAGAGAAAGUGAAAAGUUUAAAUGUAAAACUGUAAAAUGCGGGGAAGGAUGAUUUUUCUUAUAUAUAUCAAAACGAUUCAGAUUAUAUAAUCUGAACCAGUUUUCGUAUUAUUUUAAAUUUCAAAAUCUGAAGGGUAGUUUUAGAAUUUUUAUAUGGUGCGUGGGUAUCUCAUAUUGUAGGAAAAGUAAUAGUCCUAAAAUAUUAUUGGUAGAAAAAUGUAUUGGGCCAUGGGAAAAAAGUUGGACUUUAGUGAAAAGAGUAAUAGAUUGUAAUCAAUUUAAAAAGUAUAUUUAUUUAUUAAUUAAUUAUUCGGUUCAACCGGUUUAAUUAGUUGAACCAUAAACCGGAGUCUUACUGGUUUAAUCUUCGGUUUGGUUUUAAAAACAUUAAUAUAUAUAAUAAUAAUAAUAAUAAUAAUAAUAAUUGUACCAAAAAAAAUAAAUAAUAAUAAUAAUAAUAAAAGUAGUUUGACGACCCAAGAUGACCAAAGACUGACAACACCACCAAAAAGAAUCAAACAAAAAAAACACCAACAUAAAAAAUAAAAAUAAAAACAUCCCAAUGACCCAAACCAAAAGCAGAAUGGACCAGGUCAACUACACCAAAGAGAAAGAAACAUAGGCACCCAGACAAGCCCCCCAAAGCACCCAUACAAGCCCCCCACAUAGCAACUACCGGCUCAAGUAGAGAAUUGCUUCCACCACUCACUCAUAGUGAGGGCAAGGCGAACCAAGGUGGGACUUAUAAAAAAAACCAAUAACACAAAGAGAACUGGGUCUUCAGAACCAAUUCCUCCACAUCUAGAAUCUUACCGACAAACACAAAAUCAUUAAUGUAACAUGUGUCACAUUGCGUGAAUGUUGUAAAUUUUAAGUACUAAUUUUGCUUUCUAUUCAUAAAAAUUGUGACCUUUAACCGAAAAAUUGUGAUAUAUUAAAAAUAUGUAUUAAGAACAGGGCUGACCCAAGCUAUAGGCAAAUUAGGCAUUUGCUUAAGGCCUUGAUUUUUUUUAUUUUUUUUUUACCUAUUAUGCAUGGUACCAAUUUUUUUUAGCGAAUCUCAUAUUUAUUUAUGGUGAUAAAAAAUUUAAGAGAAAUAAUACAAGUUGUCGAAUGAUAUAGCGAUUGAUUUGCUUAAUUUUAUAGAAAGACUUGGUUUUUUUCCAGAUGUGUAUAUUGGUUAUAGAAUAUAAUGUUAACAAUUCAUAUAAUUGUUGUGUCUGCAAAUUUGAAUUUGUUUUACUGUCGAUUCAAAAAGAAUUGUUAAACUAAACCGAUUACAAUAAUUUUGCAUCCAAAAAAAAUCGAAAUCACUUUGAAUAAAAAUAUUAUUUUUGUAAAAAAAAUAUAUAAUUAAUAAUUUCUUUUUUGUACAAACCAUGCUCCAUUUUAGAUUUCGCGUUGAGCAUCAAUAUGUGUUGGAACGGUCCUGAUUAAAAAAGUUUUAUGCUAUGUAUUUUUUUACCAGUGAAUUAUAGAAAUCUCAUCCAUAAAUUUAAAAAGAGAGGUAAUAAGACAAGAUAACACAUUCAUCAUUUUUUGGAAAAGCUUAUCAUCAUUACAAAUACAUAGUCUGAUGCAAAUUUAUACAUGAUUUCUCCCGAAGAAAUAUCUAUCUAUACUAUAUAGUGGCAAGAUAGAUAAAUACACCAUUAUAUCAACACACAACAUUAUUUUUAUUCAUGAAAUAUAUUACUGAGAAAGAGUGCAUGGUGCAUGAAGAUAGAUAUCAUUAUGAUCAGUUUUGAGUUUUGUCCUCAGUUUGCUCGGCACCGUGACCACCGUGACCACCUCCACCGUGUCCUCCGUGUCCACCUCCACCGUGGUUGUAACCACCUCCACCGUGGUGGUAACUACCUCCUCCAUGGUUGUAACUACCUCCACCAUGGUUGUAACUUCCACCAUGGUUGUAACUACCACCACCAUAUUUGGCAUCAUUUACUUCAUUAGUCUUUUCCUCAGUUUGCACGGCAACAGAUUCAGCAGCACCGUGACCACCAUGACCUCCUCCACCAUUGUAACCACCAUGACCUCCUCCACCAUUGUAACCACCGUGACCUCCGUGGCCUCCACCACCAUUGUAACCACCUCCACCAUGGUUGUAACCACCUCCACCGUUGUGGUAACCACCACCACCGUUGUGGUAACCACCACCGUGGUUAUAACCUCCACCAUUGUAACCACCACCGUGGUUAUAACCACCAUGGUUGUAGCCUCCAUAUUUGGCAUCGUUUACUUCAUUAGUCUUUUCAACAACUUCUGCAAACACAAUAUAUGAAUCAUUACUUUAUUUAUAAUUAACUAGAAAAGAAUUUAAAAAAUAUAGAAAAUGCUUGUGAAAGUAUUUAUAAAGAAAAAUAAUAUAUAGCUCACCCUUUUUGGCAUCAGUGGAAGUUUCAGUUAAUUCCCUAGCAGACAUCACUGAGGAAAUAAGAGCCAUAGCCAAGAGGCCUAGCAUGAGGAUUGCCUUUUUUGAAUCCAUUGUUCAAACUUUGUUCAAAUGUGAUAUUUAGUAGUGAACUAUGAUAAAACUAAGUAAGAAGUGUGCUCUAUAUAUAAUGGAGGAGUGAAGUAGGGGACCUUUACUUGGUAGUUGAGAUGGUAGCUAGUGUGUAUUAAUUCAUUACUUUUUAGAUUCACAAUGUAUCUAGUUUAUAUGAUAGGCUAUAUACAUCUUUUAUACAAUUAAUCAAAAAAAUGAAAUUUUAUUUAUAAUAGUGAUCGAAUAGUGUAUAUAUCUAUAAAUUUUAAACUAAAAUAGUUGUUUGAUGAUUUCGAUACCAUUUAUUUUGACUACUUCCUUCGAUCCAAAAUAAAUGAUCUUGUCGAUUGUUUUAAGCAUAUCAAUGCACAUCUUUGAUUUUUAAUACUCUCUUCAUCCUAGAUUAACUGAGUCAUUUGCUCAUUCACACAUAUUAAGAAAAAUGUAUAAAUGAAGGAGAUAAAAAAAUGAUUAUAAGUGUUUUUGUUAUGUAUUUGUGCAUUCUCCACUAUCAUAAAUGCAAAGUAUAAUAUAUUGAAUUGAAAGUGAUGAAAGUAGUAUUAAUUAGAAGAAAAAAUAAUUAAUAUUGUAUUGAAAAAUGAAAUGAAUCAAUUAUUUUAAGACAAUAUUUUUUUACAAAAAGUUCAGUCAUUAUGAGACGGAGGAAGUAUUAUUUAUUUAUGUAUUAACAAAAAAACAUAAAUAAAAAUUGAUAUUUUAAAAAUAUUCAUUGAGACAAAUAAAAAAAUAUCUUAUAUAUUAUCAUUUGUCUUUAUAUAAUAGUAAAAAAAAAAAAAAAAACUAAGUGAAUAAUAGACAUAGUCAAAUAAUUUCAUAAUUGAGAGAGUUGUAAAGAUCGAAGGCUAUGAAAAUGGUGAUGAGUUAGGUCUACUUGCUAUUGGCUGAAAGUGACGUUUUGAAAGCAUGCUAUUGGUUCGUACUAACUAUCUCAUCCCAUGGAGAUACAUACAUUCAAACUUAUCCAAACAAAUUCAAAAUAUGUUUUCUAUAACUAAACAAAAUUAGCAAAAGAGUAUUACAGAGGUACACUCGAAACUUUUUAAAGAACAGUGUUAUUGAAUACCACUCCUUUCAAUUAGAUACAUAUCACAUUUUAUUGAUGAUAUAAAUGUUUAUUAUAAAUAAGAUUAGAUGAAGUAGCCGUUAACAUCUUAUAAUUAUAUUUGCUUGAAAUGAUUACACAAAUUAAGAAACAAACUAUGUUUCUCAACUAUAGGUUCUUUAAUUACUCUAAAUAGUAAGAAAAACAUAAGUUUUUCUGAGGGAGUAGGAAAAACAUAAGUUAAAAGCUUAAUACAACUCAAAUUCCUAGAAUCCCUCGGCUAUGAGUGGAAAGCUUUCGUUUGGUGGAUUUGGAUCCUCUUUAUUGAAAAUUUUCUUCAAUUUUCUCCAUUUUCAAUCUUCACCAUUAAAAUACAACUACUAUUUGUUAGUAUAAUUUAAUUAUCACUUUCUCUCUCAUGAUUGAUGGUUGAGAUUUUACAUGAAAAAAUUUGAGAGAAUUUUCAAUGGAGAGAAUCCUAAUCCUCGUUUGGUUUGGUUUUUUUGGCUCAUAUAUUCAAACCAAGUAAGAAUAAUUCAUUUGUUUUGACUUGGAUUUUACAAAUUUUUUAUUAAAUCCAAAUGAAAGUUAAGUGAUUAAAAAUGGGCCAGCUUGCCUCAAAUAAUCACUCAAGUUGAUAUUUUAAAAUUUAAUAUUUUUUAUAAAUUUUAAAAAAUUAAGUUUUCUUUAAGAAUAUUAUAGAUUUUUUAACAUUAUUUUUUUUAUCAGAGGGAAAUAAAAGACACAAAAGAAAAAAAAAACUAAACAACUCAUUGUCUAAACACCCCAAAGACAUCAGCAAGCAAGUCCAGAUCCAACUCUUUAAGAGGGGAAUUGUAACACCCCGUUUUCCCAAUAUAAAAAUUUCAUAAAUUAAUCAGAGUAAAACACCUUAAACGGAAUAUUACACUUCUUUUCUUAAAAACAUAAAUGGAAUAAUUAUCCUUCAAAUUUCAACAACGUAUUGUCAUACCCCAAUUUUUGACCUAAGGCCCCACUGACACAUGUCACUUGACUCUGAUCGAUCUCUGAUUUUUCAGUGAAAAAAUUCGGCAGGGAGGUAUUUUAAAAUACCUUAUUUUUGAUUCCGAGUCGGACCCUCUUUUCUCUUUUUAUUUUCUUUCUAUCUUUUAUUAAUUUUAAUUUUAAGAUUAGUUACUUUUUUAUAUUUAAUAAUUUUUAUUUUCCAUCUUUUAAUUUUAUUUUUCUUUACAUAAUUUAGUUUAAUUUGUUUUUAUUUUAUUUCGUAUUAGAUUUAUUUUAUUUUUAUUUUUCUUUUUAAUUAAUUAGUGUCCAAAAAAAAAAAACAAAGUGUCAAUAGGUCCAAAAUAAAAUGUACAAGGUCUAAAAAAAUUCAAGUCAAGUGUCAACUUUAACAUUUCUUUUUCAAAAUUCACCAUAAUUGUCCAUCAUUUUCAUUAAACCAAUUUUCCAUUUUUCAUCAACCUCCUCACCUAUAAAUAGAGCCCUCAUUCCACACAAUUUCACACACCAAAAGUUCUCUUGAGUUGUCAAAGAACUUUUCUCUCUUCUCCCUCUUUAGCUUGUGUUGACGAGCUAUUCUUUUCUUCUCCCUCUUUUUUCUGUCCCUUCGGAAUAAGUCCCUUCGGUAAUUUUUGUCCCUUCGGUUGUCAAUUUCUUUUAUUUUCUUGAAUUUUAUUUCUUUUUAGUAUUUUUGCAUUUUUUUUUAUUUCUAUUUAGCAUUUUAAUUAUUUUUAUUUAUUUUCCAGCAAUUAGAAUGUAUUUAGGUCCAAUGUAAAUAUAAAUGAGAAAAGUGUGUGGGUGUGUGUGUCCUUUUAUUUCUUUACCGCCUUAUAUAUAUCCAAAAUUGCAAAAAAAAAAAUAGAUCAGGGAUUUUGUGGUGAUCCAACGUCACUACAAAAAUCCACGCGCUUUUAUUUUUAUUGCUCCGUUAGUUUAAUUUUUAUUUAAUAUUCCAAAAAAACAACAAAAAACAUGCAAAUAAUCAAAAUCACAAAAAUAUUUUCAUAAUAAACCUUGAUCCAAAUCAAGUGACCGCAUUUUUAUUUUCUUUUCUCCAUCAAACUUCAAUCAAUUUAACUUUACUUUUAAGUCUCUUUUUUCAAUAUUAAAAAACACAAACAAAUACUCAUUUGCCACUUGGCUUUUCAUUUUAAAACCUUUUUCAAAACUAAUAAAAAACACUCAACAAAUCAAACGUCAAUUUCUACCCCGAACUACGAGGUUUUGAUCCCUCACGGGUACGUAGGCAGAGGACCAUGUCCUUCCAAAUCAAUAAAAAAUGUAGAUAAUUAGGUCUUUAUUUUUAUCAGUUUAAUUCAUUCUUUUCAAAAAUAAUAAGCAAGUUAUAGCACAUUAAUUAAAUAAAAUCAAGAGGUUCUCGUAGAGUACUACGAAUAUUUAGGGUGCUAAUACCUUCCCUAAAUAUAACCAACCCCCGAACCCUAAAUCUCUCAAUAUGGGGUGUUUUGAACUUUUUUCACCUUUUUCUUAAAAAAUAAAAUGUUCAGUCGUGAAAUAAUUAGCGAGUCAAAAGCUAAUCAAAUAGCCUUGAUCUCCGAAAAAUGACGCGACAGAAAUGGCGACUUCACUGAUGAUGCCCUAAGAGGGUUGAGCCUAACUUGGCUUUAUUUAAUUAUUUGUGCUAUAACUUGCUUAAAACAAAAAAUAAAAAUGAUGGAAAUACUUGUAUAUUUGUUCUCUCUUCUUCUUUCUUCUUUCUUCUUUCUUAAACGUGAGUGGUGAGAUAAGUUCUACACCCGGACUUGAGAGAAAUAUAAGAUAGGAGUGGUAGACUCAUAGUGGCAUACCGGGAGUAUACUCGUGUCUAGUCACAUGUGAGAUAACCACACUUAGCGGAGGAGCUUGAAGUGAUAUAUGUCGGCGUGUGUUUUCACGUUUAGACUUUAUUACUCUUAAGUUUCCAAUGAAGCUAAGGACCUUUAGUAACCCUUAACCCAUCCUGGCCUUUUAGGACGUAGUGCGGUGGCUAACCGGAUGUUUUCUCGAAACUAGUCGACACGCGAUACUACACUCAAAUGAGACUUUCCUACGAACGUUGUUGGACCGGGUGUUUUCUCGAUAUCCGAUAAUAUUCGGAAGUAGUCGAGGACUUUGGGAACUUGGUAGAACCCGUGAUACAGGUACAUUUGAAACCAUAGUCCCUACCAAAUGGCGUUGUUAUCCUUAAGCUCCAACAUUAUGGACUUAACCUCACCAUGCAUUCCAUGUUCCUUAGCAUAAUCAUGCAUACAUGCAUUCAUUCAUAAAACUUUUGUUCUUCUCACUAAUAUCGAAGGACUUAGAUAAGUUCUUGUAAACAUCAAUGAUAUGGACCUUGUAAGAAGGAACACCUACAACUUCAAAAACCUUAACUAAGCUUUAGCUUUUGUUAAGAAUUUUUUCCUUGGUUUCGUUCUUACUUUUGAAAUGGGAACCAAUUGCAACAUCUUCACAAUUUUCAAAUAAAACAAUGUUCCUUAUCAAGUUUACAAUUACUUUGACAAGUCCUUCAAAAAAAACAAAUGUGUCUAUUUUUGCAUAAGCAUAGCAUGCAUACAUAAUUUCAAGUCUGAGUCUUACACUGUGUCUUUUCUACUAAAGGUCAAUCCAUCUCAAAGGUGUCCCAACUGUCCUCGUCCAAAGUCAACUCGCACCUACAACACUCGGGCAAACAAAAAAAGAGAACGUAUCAGUUUGAACAAGAAAUCCACGAGCAUUCGUGAAGAGGUAACAACACUAUUGACGUUCCUUCCGCUACUUUUUGUUCAAUUAAUGUUUGUUUGUUGAUUUUCGCUUUUCAAAAAAAAAAAAAAAAAACAUCCUUUCGUCCCGCCUGAGAUGAAAUUGAUCUUGUGUAGGGCUUUUUGCUUUAAGUAUUGGUCAUCUUUAAUAAAAAGGUCGUUUUAAUCCCGACUUUAUUUUAUUUUGUGCUUUUUCUGAAAAAUGGUAAUACAAAAAACCAAAAAGAAUUUCUUUAAUCAUUCGCAUAUAUCUGCAUAAUCAUAGCUUGUACUUACUUGUCAAAAUCAAUAAUCAAAUCAUGCAUUAAUAAACCCGUUGAACAUAAUAACCAUGUACUCUCUCCCAACUUUGAGUUCUCUGUGACCGAAGAUAAGGAAGAGGAGAAUGAAGAGGCUCCCAGCAAGAUCUCUCGCCCACUGAGGCAUCUUAGCCGUCAAAGCUGCAAACAAAAUAUCAAAGAAGAUUGUCCAAAAAAAUUGCUUUCAUUUACAAAGACUGGCACGAGAUGCUACCACUUGCACUUCAUGAGUAUUGUCCGGUAGUACACACUUCAACAGGGGCAACCCCCUCCUUCCCUCAAGUAUAUAACUUAAAGGUCGUGCUUCCUAUGGAGGUCGAAGUCCCAUCAAUAGGAGUUCUGCUGGAGUCCCAACUUGAUCGAACUAAAAUGUGUGACGACCUUGUGCAUCUAUAUCAAAAAGAGGUUUGAAACAAACUUCCAACAAGAAGGUUUGUCCCCGUGAAACUCAAGAAAGAGACUUUGUGCUCAAAAAGAUACUAUCUUUCCAACCAGACUCCAGGAGCAAGUGGACGCCUAACUAUGAAGGCUCAUGUGCAAUGAAUUUUACAACUAUGGAUGGUGACAAACUUGCACUUCCUAUGAAUGUCGGUGUAGUCAAGAAAUACUCUGUCAAAUAUAAAAGCUCGAUAAGUCGCAAACCUGAAAAGGCGGCUUAGGCAAAAAUGAGCGUCUCGGUGGACUGAAAACCCAAAAGGGUGGUCCAGGCAAAAGUUAGAGACAUGAACAAAAAAGAUUAUCCUGAUAGACCGCAAACCCGAAAAAACGAUCUAUGCAAAAGUUAAGGAUCAAAAGACAAAGUAACUGCAUCCGGUCAGGCACAGUCCACUUGGGGCAUCCAGCUAUCAAAAGACCGCCGAUACGAAGCAUCUGCAGAUCAAAGACUCGAAACAGGGGCAUUCAAAGUUGUUAGGGAGAAUAGCUGUUAUUGUUUUCAAUGUACCAUCCCAUACAUUUACCAUUUUCCAAAUCUUUCAAAGAUCCGUGGAGCCAUGCCAUUGGUAGGUCACCACUCAAUUCAUCAAAUUUGAUCCUAUGCCUAUUUGUUUGGAACUCUCAUUUAUUCUAUUUGCAAAAUUUCUUCUACUUUUUAUGGCAAUACUUAAAGCAAAAAUUUUCAAAAAAAAAAAUACAAAAACUUUUUUUUACAUCUUUUGAAAAGUGUGAACAACAAACACACUCUCUUUGAACUCAUGAGUAGAUGAAGCAUACAUCAACAUCCGCCUCGAAGACGGUUACAUUCCGAAAGAGAAACAUGGCUAAGCGUUAUGGAAAGAACCUCUGCCUUGAACAAGAUGUUGUCACAGUCAAAAAAAAUAUAUACAAAAAAAAAAAUACAAAAAAAUCAAAGCUCGCUAAGUUGAAAACCUGAAAAGGUGGCUUAAGCAAUAGAGAGCGUCCCGGUGGACUGAAAACCCGAAAGGGCGGUCCAGGAAAAAAUUAGGGGCACAAAAAAGAAUAUAAUCCCGGUGGACUGAAAAUCUGAAAGGACGGUCCAGGCAAAAGUUAGAGAUUUUUUUUUAAAAAAAUGACUGCUGAAACAUACCAAUGGAGGAACACUCUGUGCCAGUUCACAAAUGGCGACUUCUUCCAGACUUUUUAUCAACGAUGGGCUUUACCCCCAGGAGGCAUCAGUUGCUCCUUGUGUCGGGUCUUACACCGUCAACGGCUCGUUUUGUUCACAAUAAUAUCAUCUCCAAUGAAGUUUGCCGAGUGCUUGUGCUGCGAUAUCAGUUCGCCUCCAAUCUUACAUGUCCUGUCUCGUUUCAUCGAGUCACUUGUCACAUAGAGUUUAUAUAGUCAUGCAAGUUGUACAUUCAUAACAUUUGUACAUUCAUAAAAUUCGUACAUUCAUACAUUGAUGCAUACACCAUAUAUAUAUACAACAUCAUUCACACAUGAUUGCAUUAGUCACCGAGAGUCUUGUUUAGCCGUGUCUCUUUGGUUAAUCCUGACCCAAACAGCAAGUGGCAGUUUCUUCAUAUGAACAGCUUGCAAUUACAAAUUCUUUUCCUCUCAAAAGUGUCAUCCCCAAUAUAACUGACCAAGUUGUCUUCUCUAAAUUUACCUUUGUUAAGCUAUCUUUGUGUGAUAUUUAGGUAAAACUUGUCAAUCGUCUUUAUUAAGUUAUCAUUUCAUCGAUAGUUAGACGAUGUUUUUCUCUCAUUCUUACCUUUGUUAAGCUAUCUCAUCGAUAGUUAGGUAAAAGUUAUCAGUCGUCUUUUUAAAGCUAUCAUUUCAUCGAUAGUUAGACGAUGUUUUUCUCUCAUUCUUACCUUUUUUAAGCUAUCUCAUCGAUAGUUAGGUAAAAGUAUCAUUUGUCUUUGUUAAGCUAUCAUUUCAUCGGUAGUUAGACGAUGGUUUUUCUUUCAUUCUUACCUUUGUUAAGCUAUCUCAUCGAUAGUUAGGUAAAAGUAUCAUUUGUCUUUGUUAAGCUAUCAUUUCAACGGUAGUUAGACGGUGGUUUUUCUCUCAUUCUUACCUUUGUUAAGCUAUCUCGUCGAUAGUUAGGUAAAAGUAUCAUUUGUCUUUGUUAAGCUAUCAUUUCAACGGUAGUUAGACGGUGGUUUUUCUCUCAUUCUUACCUUUGUUAAACUAUCUCAUCGAUAGUUAGGUAAAAGUAUCAUUUGUCUUUGUUAAGCUAUCAUUUCAACGGUAGUUAGACGGUGGUUUUUCUCUCAUUCUUACCUUUGUUAAGCUAUCUCAUCGAUAGUUAGGUAAAAGUAUCAUUUGUCUUUGUUAAGCUAUCAUUUCAACGGUAGUUAGACGAUGGUUUUUCUCUCAUUCUUACCUUUGUUAAGCUAUCUCAUCGAUAGUUAGGUAAAAGUAUCAUUUGUCUUUGUUAAGCUAUCAUUUCAACGAUAGUUAGACGAUGGUUUUUCUCUCAUUCUUACCUUUGUUAAGAUAUCUCAUCGAUAGUUAGGUAAAAGUAUCAUUUGUCUUUGUUAAGCUAUCAUUUCAACGAUAGUUAGACGAUGGUUUUUCUCUCAUUCUUACGUUUGUUAAGCUAUCUCGUCGAUAGUUAGGUAAAAAUAUCAAUCGUCUCUGUUAACCUAUCAAUACGAUAGUAGACAAUAAUUUUCCCCAGUGAAACUUCAUUCCCCUAGCAGAGUCGGACCCCUUUUUUCUUCAACGAAUUCGGGUAUCCCGUUGUUAUUUCUCAUUCGAGUCAAAUCAUCCUGCAUUCAUAAAUUGCAUCACAUGCAUCCAUAGCAUCUUAGGUCAAAUAUUGUGUACUUUGUAUUUAAGUCUCUUCGACUCGUCAAAUCAAAGAUUUCAUCUUCAAAUCUCCGGACGAAGAAACUUAAAUAGGGGCAUCUGUCAUACCCCAAUUUUUGACCUAAGGCCUCACGGACACAUGUCACUUGACUCUGAUCGAUCUCUGAUUUUUCAGUGAAAAAAUUCGGCAGGGAGGUAUUUUAAAAUACCUCAUUUUUGAUUCCGAGUCGGACCCUCUUUUCUCUUUUUAUUUUCUUUCCAUCUUUUAUUAAUUUUAAUUUUAAGAUUAGUUACUUUUUUUAUAUUUAAUAAUUUUUAUUUUUCAUCUUUUAAUUUUAUUUUUCUUUACAUAAUUUAGUUUAAUUUGUUUUUAUUUUAUUUCGUAUUAGAUUUAUUUUUAUUUUAUUUUUAUUUUUCUUUUUAAUUAAUUAGUGUCCAAAAAAAAAAACAAAGUGUCAAUAGGUCCAAAAUAAAAUGUACAAGGUCUAAAAAAAUUCAAGUCAAGUGUCAACUUUAACAUUCCUUUUUCAAAAUUCACCAUAAUUGUCCAUCAUUUCCAUUAAAUCAAUUUUCCAUUUUUCAUCAACCUCCUCACCUAUAAAUAGAGCCCUCAUUCCACACAAUUUCACACACCAAAAGUUCUCUUGAGUUGUCAAAGAACUUUUCUCUCUUCUCCCUCUUUAGCUUGUGUUGACGAGCUAUUCUUUUCUUCUCCCUCUUUUUUCUGUCCCUUCGGAAUAAGUCCCUUCGGUAAUUUUUGUCCAUUCGGUUGUCAAUUUCUUUUAUUUUCUUGAAUUUUAUUUCUUUUUAGUAUUUUUGCAUUUUUUUUUAUUUCUAUUUAGCAUUUUAAUUAUUUUUAUUUAUUUUCCAGCAAUUAGAAUGUAUUUAGGUCCAAUGUAAAUAUAAAUGAGAAAAGUGUGUGGGUGUGUGUGUCCUUUUAUUUCUUUACCGCCUUAUAUAUAUCCAAAAAUGCAAAAAAAAAAAAAUUAGAUUAGGGAUUUUGUGGUGAUCCAACGUCACUACAAAAAUCCACGCGCAUUUAUUUUUAUUGCUCCGUUAGUUUAAUUUUUAUUUAAUAUUCCAAAAAAACAACAAGAAAACAUGCAAAUAAUCAAAAUCACAAAAAUAUUUUCAUAAUAAACCUUGAUCCAAAUCAAGUGACCGCAUUUUUAUUUUCUUUUCUCCAUCAAACUUCAAUCAAUUUAACUUUACUUUUAAGUCUCUUUUUUCAAUAUUAAAAAACACAAACAAAUACUCAUUUGCCACUUGGCUUUUCAUUUUAAAACCUUUUUCAAAACUAAUAAAAAACACUCAACAAAUCAAACGUCAAUUUCUACCCCGAACUACGAGGUUUUGAUCCCUCACGGGUACGUAGGCAGAGGACCAUGUCCUUCCAAAUCAAUAAAAAAUGUAGAUAAUUAGGUCUUUAUUUUUAUCAGUUUAAUUCAUUCUUUUCAAAAAUAAUAAGCAAGUUAUAGCAUAUUAAUUAAAUAAAAUCAAGAGGUUCUCGUAGAGUACUACGAAUAUUUAGGGUGCUAAUACCUUCCCUAAAUAUAACCAACCCCUGUCAUACCCCAAUUUUGGACCGUUUAAAAACUCUUGUCCGUAUUUUAAAUUUGUUCACAUUCCCAUUUAUUCGUUGUUUUUUACCAUUUAAAGUUCGUAUUUCUUGUCUUUAGUCAUUCAAAAAAGUUUUUUUACGUUAAAUCAACGUUCGCGUUUCACAACGUUUAAAACCGUCUCACUUUCAUUUUUACGUCGCAUAGUCUUUUUUUUAAUCGUAACGAUCACGUCAAAAAAAGAGAAGGCCUAAUCGCUUUUUUUAAAAGGCGUUUUUUCUUAUUAAUCAUUUCAAUCGAAAUUUCGGCAGGGAGGAUACUUUGAAAUACCUCAUGUCAGAUUCCGAAGGGACUUUUUAUUUUUAUUUUUUUGUCUUUUUUAGUUUGUUUAUUAUUAUUUUAUUUUAUUAUUAUUAUUUUUUUUAUAAAAAAAAACAAAACAAAGAAAAGAAGAAGACAUACGUCUUCCCUUUCUUCUUUUUCUUUUUCUUUUCUUUUUCUUUUUAUUCAUUCUUUUUAUUUUUAUUUAUUUAUUUGUUAAGCCUUUGUCCCCAAGUCUCAGCUGCAGGGGCAUUUUGGUCAUUUGUUUGUACCAGAGCCAACCCUAAUUUGUCACUAUAAAAGCCUGUCAAUCAUUGGGAAAUGGGCCAGAGAAAAAAUUACUGUUCAUGAGUCAGAGAAAAACACUAUUCACGUCAGAAAAAGUCAGUCAACAGCAAUCAUACUCACAAACAAUCUCCAAACUUCUCUCUCCAAAAUUUUGGAUCAAAAACCCAAAAUUUCAUGAACUCACAUGAACCACAUCAAGAACACAUGAACCUCAAUCAUUUUCAGAAACACACAAUAACAACAUAAACACCUCAAACCAUUCAUACAACCACAAAUCAUCAUCAUUCCAAACAAAACAAAUCCGAACCAAAACAGAGCCAAACGAACCGGAGUAGAGGAGAGCCAACCGAACCGGAAAAGAACCGGAGCCGAACCGGAAACAAGGAAGAACACGCGAACCGGAAGAAGGAAGAAAAGGAGAGAACCGGACUCAAACUAGGAGGAAAGGAAACCGGAAAAAGAGGUAAAAAUUUCACGUUUUUCAUUUGUAGAUCUAGGAUUUUUGGUGUAUGUUUUCGAAAUUUUGAGCUUGGAUUUGUGUAGAGGAAGGGAAGAGGAGUAUUUUGAUGUAAAAAAAAAUUUCAAAAAAAGCAAAAAAAACUCCGGCGCGGCGGCGCUCCGGCCGACCGCCGCGCCGGAGCAGCUCCGGCCGCCCCUCUUCUUCUUCUCCGGCCGCGUGUGUUUUUGUGGGAGGGGAGAGCUUCUCUCUCUAAGUUGUAACUUAGAGAGAGAAAGUUUUUGUGUUAUAUUUGUUUUUUUGGUAAAACCCCUUUAUAUAGCCUCAUUACUUUAUUUUAAUUCCAUGCGUAUCGUUCCACUGUAUUAUCGUGUAUGAUCACAGCUAGACCGUCAGAUUGUAGAUCUAACGGUCGAUGAUGCAGCUUGUUUUUGGUUAAGUGUUUGUUCUUUUGGGUGGAAUAUUGUGUGCCUGCUGUUGAACCGUCAGAUCGUUGAUCUGACGGUCACUGUGCUUCCAGUAUAUCCUUCCUUUCUUGCUGUUUAUUUUUAAACCGUUGGAUCUUAGAUCCAAUGGCUAUGAUGAAUCCAGGGGUUUGAACUUGGACCAUUGAUUUAAUCCAAUGGUUCAGAAUUAAUCCUGCUGAGCCAAUUUGUUUAUUAUUUUCAUUUGUUAUUGUUUCUAUUUUUUAAAUGCUGUUUUUUUUUAUUUCUUUUUGACAUUUUAUGUUUAGAAAAAAAUUCCAAAAAAAUGUUUUUUUCUCACUAUUUUAAUUUUCUAUCAUUGUUAAAAAUCCAUCCUAUUUUUUUCUUUUAAUUUGUUUUUUUUUACUUAUUAUUUAUUAUUUCUUAUAUGAUGAUCUUAAAUGUUUUUUUUUAUUAUUUUUAUUUCUUGCUUAUUAUUUCUUAUGUCUCAUUCAUCAUAAUAUUUCUUGUGAUCACUAACCAUUUAAUUUUUGUCUUAGAUCAUAGCAUGCAUAUUAAAUUUUCUCAUCAUUUUAUCUUGUCAUUGGAUUAGUAUGUAUAAAUAGGGAAUUGAUGUAAUUUUAUUUCUUGCAUUUUAUUUUGGCAUAAAGGCCUUAGGGUUGUAUUUAGGAAUUGAUGUAAUAAUGUAGGUAACACAAGCACCGACACAUACACCGACACUACCACAUUUUAUUUACCGCUUUCCGUUAUUUUUUUUUUACGACGUUACGUUAGUUCUCACUGUUAGUUUAGAAAAAAUCAUUUUCACAAAAAAAUCAAAUAUGUCAAAUUCAAAAAUAUUUUUUCUUAGCAACAUUUUCCCUUUAUUUUCUUAAUCAAAUUUUUAAUCAAUUUUAAUUCAACUUCAAUCAUUUUCAAAAAUUUAAAAUCAAUCAACCUCACUCAUUUCUUUUAUCUCAUGCCUUGAGGCCUCUUUCUCUUCUUAAAACCAUUUUCAAAAAUCUUAAAAUCAACCUAACCCACCAAAGAAAUUUUUGAGUGGAACUACGUCGGUUUUGAUCCCUUUCUCAAAAGGGUACGUAGGCAGAGGACUCGUCCUUCCAAAUCAAAUAAAAAUAAACCAAAAACAUACUUCUUCUCCCUCCAUUCUUUCACUUAGACAUUAGGCAAUAAUUUUUCAAAUGAACAAGUAUUUUAGCACAAGAUAAUCUAGGUAAGAGGUUCCUACGGAAUACCGUAGAUGCUUAGGAUGCUAGCACCUUCCCUUCGCAUAACCAACCCCCGAAUCCAAAGUCUCGAAAAGGGUUUUUACUCAUUUUUUCCCUUCCCAAGAAUAAAAAUCGAGAGUUCAAAGAUUGACGAUUCAAAUCAAUUAAUGGUUUGAUAUCCAAAAAUCGCGAGCACAGAAAUGGCGACUUACCCCCGAACCCUAAAUCUCUCAAUAUGGGGUGUUUUGAACUUUUUUCACCUUUUUCUUAAAAAAUAAAAUGUUCAGUCGUGAAAUAAUUAGCGAGUCAAAAAUCUAAUCAAAUAGCCUUGAUCUCUGAAAAAUGACGCGACACGUAUUAAUCAAAACUUUGUAGCAGAAUUAAUUCAACGACAAUAAAAGCUCUAACAACAUGUUUCAAAAUUGAUACAUAAAGGAAUGAUAAACAUCGUAACAAUUUCCCAUCCUGUUACGUAUCAGAGCCCUAAGACACUUGAGCCACCUCUCCUACUAAGCUUCAUUACCUGCAAGUUACCCAUACGAAGGGCAACAUUUUCAAGCAGAAGGGGUGAGAUCUCUCAAACAAUAAUAAUAAGCAUAUAAUUCAUCAAUUACAGUUAACAACAUAGACAUCAUCAAAUCCACCCAAUAAUAAUUUUUCUUAACAUCCCCUUAGUACUCAUGAAUAGAAGACAACUUAGCCACUAUGCAUCAACGUUAUCAAUUCAUAACAAUAAUUAUUCAUCAACCAUCUCAUUAGCAAAACAUGAAUAAGGAACAACUUAUCAACUUAACAUAAUCAUCAUUAAGUACAUUUAACAACUCAUAGAUAACAUCAUGUAACAUCAAAACAGCCUCUCAUUCAACACUAUAAACAAUCAUCAUAACAUCGUCAUAAUCAUCAACAUAAACAACGUAAGAGUACACCACCUCUUAUAAACAACAACGUAAGAGUACACCAUCUCUUAUAAAACGACCAAGUAAGAGUACACCACCUCUUAUAAAAAAAACGACAAAGUAAGAGUACACCACCUCUUAUAAAACGACCAAGUAAGAGUACACCACCUCUUAUAAAAAAAAACGACAAAGUAAGAGUACACCACUUCUUAUAAAACGACCAAGUAAGAGUAGUACACCACCUCUUAUAAACAACAAUGUAAGAGUACACCACCUCUUAUAAACAACAAUGUAAGAGUACACCACCUCUUAUAAAACACCUGACAUAAACAAUCACCAACGAUGGCUACAACUACGACAUCAACAACAACACCAACGAUGAUGACAACAUCGACAAUUUGCAUAACAUACUUAUGACUUAUUCGGCAACGUACAACCCAACAACGCUUACAACUUAUACCAACAUUAGAUCUUCAUGAUAUUAAUAUGUCACAACCGCAAGACAACACCAUUAAAUAAUAUGCAGCAAGUCAACAUUAAUAAUAAUCAUCAUAUAUAACAAUUACAAUUUCAUAUCAACGUCUUUCACAAUAUAUAAAUAUUUUCACAUUUAAUCAUCAAAGUAAAUCAUCAUUAUUAAUCAUCUUGUUCAUCCUCUCUGAACCUCAUUAUAAUCAUUAACAACUUCAUUCCAACCCCAAGGGUCGACUCACAACAUAAGUUACAUACUCUUAAACACCCUAAUUGAACUCAUAGUACUUCUAGUUUUGAGCUUUGGAAUUAUCCCAUAAGUUUUGGAUUAACUUAGAAACGGUUAUACUGAAUUUUCAUAAGAUUUCACUAAGACCUCCUUGGAGUAUUUUCAUCAUAUCUCAAAAACAAAAAAUCAUUUUCAAGUGAAACCAAAGCCAUUGGAAAGCUAACAAAAUUAUCUACAACUUUCAUGUUUACACCAAAGGUCAACUCAAAACAGAAACGUGUGAAAAAGACGGAAGAACAUGAAACAGGGUAAGCAUCAGACAUACUGAAAUUUACAGAUUUUCUGUCAAAAUCGCCUCACGAUCACUGGGAUCGCCUCACGAUUUUGACAGCAUCAUACAUGCUGAUAUUACAGAUUUUUCUGCGAUUUUCUACCAUGGGAGCCUCCUUGACUCCGUUUUUUAACCCUAAACUCUCCAAAAUCAUCCAUAAUCAUCACCAUAUGAUUACCCUAUCAUUGAAACGUUAAUCCAUCACUAACCUACCCGAUUAACCACUCUUUUCACCGUUCCAUUAUAUGGUUUCUACACUUUUCAUUCAAAAGUCAAUAAUCAAAACCUAAUCCCAAUUCUCAAAUUUAACCACAACCCCUUGCUAAAUCAAAAUCAGAAUUAUACAAACUAUAAUCAUUGAGAGUUAGCCUCACCCUUACCUUAGAUUGAUGAACAAAGCUCUACACGAUCUUCUCUUGGAUACUAUUGGCUCCCUCUUGGUUUUUCUCCCAAAAAGCUGCUUCCACGUGAAAAUGUUUUCUGACUUCCCUCUUUUCUUUUCUAAACCUAAUUCAACUUCUUCUAUUUCCGCUUAAUCCCACACAACUCUCCUUAUUUCUAAAUCAGCCCCUUGAACUCCAAAUAUUCUAAAUUCCCACUUAUUCUAUUAAAUAGUAAAAUAACACAUUUAAUAAAAUAUAACACACCACAUAAUCAACAAUAAUUAUUUAAAAUCAUAUAUAAAAAGACUUUAAAUCAACCAAUAAUAAUUAAAUAAAAUUGGGUCGUUACAGGAAUCCCAUAACUUCGUGACGUCGACAUUCUUUACACUUAAUUAUCAAUCAAUCAACACAUUAGAUGUCUUCUCUUAAAGUAUGAUUAAAGAAAACCAACCAAAAAAGACAAAUGGACUUCCUAAUGAGGGAAUAUAAGUUGCAUGAGGAUGGAAAUCCUUAUGAUGGAAAUCAGUGAUCAAGUCUAACGCUGACUUAGUUAUUCUUAUACUAUUAAAAUAAGUAUACAGUUACAAUGAAAAAAGAUAAAAUAUAAUGACUAAAAAAUACAUGAAAUUAACAUAUUUGUAAUAUAAAACUAUUAAUAGGGCAUGAUAUUUAACAAUAAGGAAAAAUCAAUCCUUCAACUUCCGGAUAAACUUAAGUUGUUUUCUUUUUGGUGGUUGAAGGCAAAUUUAUAUGCUAAUUUUAUUUUAGGUUAUCAUAGUUGAUGGAUUUUCUCUUUUGUUUGCUUGGGUAAUGGUUAAUUUCUUUAUGUUUUGUUUUGAUAGGAAAAUGUUUGUUUUGGUAGUAAUAUGUUUUAUUUUUCCUUGUUUAAAAAGAGAUAUAGUAUGAAAUAUAAAUAAUUAGUGAUAAAAUAUAAUAUUUUGGUUCGAUUUACAGGUGAUUUGUUUUAAAUGAUCUGAAAACGAUAUUCAAACAAUAGUGAUCAAAUUUGAUUAGUGUGUGUGAUUCAGGUUAUACAUACAUGAGCAUAAAAAACACCAAUUUAGUUUAUUUGCAUUGAAUGUUUGCAUUCUACGAGUUAUUGGUUUGAUUCUUACACCUCAUCAUAAACAAUAUAGCAUAUAAUAUUUAUUUAUUUUCCUCUUUGUAUUAAAGGGUAUACAAAACAUUUUUCAAAUGAGAUAACAAGAUUUUAGUUUUCAAAUGAAUGGUUGAUUCCAUAUUUAGAGAAGGGGCUAGUUGUUGCCCAUGUAAUUAAUAACACAAGGAAGUGAGAAGAAUUCACAGAACACUUGGAUAGGUCAUUUUCUUUCCAAAAAAAAAAAAAACUAGGAUAGGACGUUUGGUGCCCCCAUUCAAUUAAUUCAUUUCACACCGACACUUUGACAAUAUAUAUGCAUUCGAUUUUUUAUUUUAUUUUUUAUGAUUAAAAUCGACAUUGUUUUUUGGUGAGAUUUGCAAGUGGCACGCCACGUAAUUGUACAAGUUCCACAUGCAUUUGACUUUAGCAAACAUUAUCAAUCUUAGAUUAGAUCACGUGUUUGUUCUCAUUAGUUUGAUACUCCAUAAUUUAGAAUAUGUUUUUGUGGUGCAGUAUCUGUUUAGGAGGAAAUGAAUUAAGUGAAAAUCUCUCUUUAAGAUGUAAUAAUAAUUGAGAAAAACUGAAAUUGUUUCAAUUGAGAUUCAUUUCUCCAUUAUGAUGGUUGUAACUUGUAAUUUUUUUUUUUUUUUUGGGUAAAAUAUGUUUUUAAUUCAUAUAAAAAUACGAGAUUUCAAUUUUAGUCCUGCAUAAUUUUAAUAGUAAUUUUAAUCCGUACCGAAAUGAUUGUUAAGAUAAUUGGUCCUUCAUGUCAAAUGGGUUGCUAAUUGAGCUAAACGAAUCAUGACUAGAUACGCCAUGCAAUCAUUUUGAUUGACGUAAGUUGCUGACUCUUGGUUGUAAGAAAAACAUCAAAGGAGGUUGAAUUGUGUAGUAUUUCUUAGAAAUUUUAAGUUAAAAACCAUUCAUAGAAUUUUUACCAAAAAAAAAUCAAUCAUAGAAUGCAAAAGAUAAUCAGAGAUAAGAGAAAAGAAUGACACAUAUUUUCCCCGGUUCAUCCCACAAUUUGGGAUUACGUUAUGUCCCCUCACACAACAGAGAUUUUUUUUUCUCUCACUAUAAUCACAUAAGAUUACAAUUACUUGGACACACAAAUCUAAGAUUUCAUGUCUUACCUUGAGGACUUCUAAAUUUAGAAUUUACAAAUAAGAUUGAUAGUUAUUUACACUUUAGACUCAAAGAGCGGUGAAUGUGCCUUUUUUUUUUACAUUUUAUAUAUUCAAAAAAUCAGUUAGUUCGUUCGACUCACAAAUACAUAUCAACUAAACUCUCUUGUAAGGACUUGAAUCGAGUCCUAGAUUGCUCUUCAAGUCCAUUUGUUUGUGUUUUUGUACGAACAAUGGGGAUUUACCGCAAAAUCAGGGAGUGUUACUCAUUUGUGGUUGGUCGUACACUCCUUCUUCUGCACCUUCUUUAAUAUGCAUGGGAGGGGGUGCUUGCGUAAGAUACUUUGAUGCUCAAGUCAGACGAGGUACAAACCAAGAGCAUACAUGCAUUGUAUAUGAGUAUGAGUGUGAUAAAAUUGGAAUGAUAUGAAGUUCAUCGUACCAAGGGCAGGUGCCCCCUAUUUAUAAUGGUUGAUAUGAUGAUAGACUCCUUGUUGGUUGCAAUCUAAUUUCCUUAUCUUCAAGAUGGUUUGUUACGAGGCUAAUUUGGAUAUCAUAGUAACGAACCUCCCAGAAUCUUGUAAUUACGAGUGACACAUGUAUAUCCGAGUGUAACAUAAUCCGAGGUAGAUGUGCUCAUCUAUGCAGUUUAGAUAAGGUACGAAUAUAUAGGAUCGAUCUCGUAGCUAACUAAAUGUUUUUUAUUCUUAGAGGAGCUAAAGCGUGUAUAGGCGCUUAUGUCGGUCUAUCAAGUGGCUCUUUUUUAUCUCGUGGAAGUGUUGAUGUGUAUCAGACAUCAUUCCGAGGUGUUAGUUAUGACAAGGUGGUAUGAGAGAUUAAGUCAUAUUUUAUGCCACAUGUCACAUUUAGGUGGUAAUCUUGAUAUUCUUUGACUUGGUCCAUUUGUUAGAUCUUCCUAUGUUAUUCUUGAAGAGCUAAUUUGCUUGGACUCCUUAACGAAUGACUAGCCUGGCCUAAUUUGCUUGGAUUCCUUAAUGAAUGACUGGCUUGGACCUUUUAGGCCCAUACUGGUACAUUAUCCCCCUAGCCCUUGGUCAUGCAGUGGACAAUUGGUCUAAGAGUAUUGAAGUGAAAAUUUUUGAAUUUUAUCCGAUGUAGAUAUAUUUGAUUUUUUUGAUGAUACGAUUUUAGUUUAAACCCGAUUUAGAACUCGAUUUACAGAUGGUAUACCCCAUGACUUGCAACUUAGAGGUGAGGUGAAAGUCUAAAGGAUUUUUCAUAUGAUACUCAAUGGUUUUCUUUGCCUCAUUUCUUGAGCAUUAUGACGUGUAUUCGAAGCACGACGUGACAAUGAGACAAUUGCUUUUUUAUGGGUGCAAUUUGAUAUGUUAGAUUUGUUAAUGGAAAGUUGUAUCGUUUGAUCGUACUUGAUGAAACAUUUCCAAUCAUUGAUGAACGGUUCCAUCCAAUUUGAAUACUUGCUACUUUCUCCCCCACCACCACCACAACUUGAUUUAAGUCAUGAAGUGCUUUUGCGACUCAUAUUUCCUUAUGUUUCAAAUUUUUCAUUCAUCCCUCCAGCUGAGCUCCGUUCUUGCUUUCUCUUUAUGUUUAAACAAUGUUUGUACAAAAGCGCUUUGAUUGAUGCACUCUUCUUUGAGAAUUGGAAUGAAUUUUUGUCUGAUCCUAAUGGGUGGCACCGUUAGAGUGUUUAAGGAGAGGUUACUGUUUUUUUUUUUUUUUUGCUAAUUAGUUAUCAACAAAAAAAUUCACAUACCCUAGAUUCUUAAAACUCAUUCAACAUAUCAUUUUAUCUAUAUGUGUAUCAUCAUAUCAUUUCAUUAAUCUAUCACAUCACUCUCAAUUGUCUCUUUCACUCUUUUGGGAUGUACGUCAACUAUUAGAGUGUCCAUCAAACAUUAUUGCUUACUUAUUUGUAUAUGGAUACUCCUUUCAUAAUAAUAAUAAUAAUUAAUAAUAAUAAAGACUUUUUUCAUCAUGUGCAAAAUUGCACAUAUUAAAAUAUUUAAAAUAGAAAUUUUGUAUUGAAACUUAUACGUUUAAUAUUAAAUAUAAUUUUUUGAAUAAUAAUAUACGUUGCUCUAAAAAAGAAUGCGAAAGCAUAAAUAAAUAAAAAAACUCAAAUGGAAACAUCAACGGGUCCCAUUAAGCUCCUUAUAAUAAACGGUAGUUUUGAUGGGAUCCGAACAACCAUUAAUGCAUGCAUAUAUAUGUAGGAGUAUAUGGUAAUUGAAUGAACUUAAAAAAUCAAUUUUACUUAUAUUUAAAAAUGAAGGGAGUACCUUCAAACAUUUUAAUGCGCCUACUUAAAUCACAAGCUUGUGUUACCAAACUCGACAGUAUAUGGUAAUUCUUGCCUAUCAAAAAGGUGUGUAUAGUUCAUGCUAAGUUGGUAUCAACGGAAAUCAUUUGAAACUUUAGAGACAUUGUUUUAAAACCCACUCUGAUUCAUCAAUUCAUACUUUUUUAAUUUAAAGUAUCAUAUGUUUAUUUAAAAAAAAAAUCAUGAAAUAAAAAAAAAAAAAAAACAUAAUUCUCGAAUCCCUAAUUCCCAAUUUCUUCUACCUAAUUCCAUGAACAAUAUGAGAGUAUCACAGCACAUAUAUGAGUUUGAUUAAUUUUUCACAAUACUGGGUGUGAGGAAUUUUUCAAGCACUACCGACAAAAGAAAUAGAGAUCACUUCGUCGUUACUUUGCACAACAAUGUCUUAAUCAUUCUAGCAAAACACUCUUCAUCGCUCUCCGAUGCUACACCAACACCAUUGUGAAGGUCAAAAAAAAUUCCAAAACCCAAAUUCUACAAUUAAAAUCAUAAGAGAAUCAUUUUCUACCAAAAUCAUAACUGCUUCCAAUAACUUGAAAUUAAUCUCUAAAGCUUGAGCAUGAUGACACAAAUGGUUCAUCGUCGAGAAUAAGCUUUUAUAAUAUAACGAAACAGUUAGAAAUCUCUCUCUCUCUCUCUCUCUCUCUCUCUCUCUCUCUCAAAUUUCGGCAUGUUCAUGGAAAAGUGAUGUUUGUCAUUAGAAAGUGUACUAAAUUGUCGUUAAGUAGUAAAAUUUAUAAGUUAGUAUCGAUGUAGAUUGUGAAAUCUCAAUUUAACUACUACAAUAAUAGUUUGGAUAUAUACAAUUGGGGGGUGUUUCACUUGGCAAUGGUUGGAUUAACUGUUCUUUAAAGAAAUAGGUAAGACACUGAUUAGGUCAUGAUAGAUCUGCUUCUCUUAAUUACAUAGAAACUCACCCCCUUGAUUGCAAUUGUUCCAAUAGUUUAGUUUCACGACAUUUGAUCAAAAUAGUUAAGUUAAUUUCUAGAUCACUAAUCUUUUUCUCUUGUUACGACCCCCUAAUGUCUUAUAUGAAACUAUAUCAAUUGAAGGCUUGAUUGUAUGCCAAAUUAUUAUCACAAAGCAGUUAGCUCAAGCCCCAAAGCUAAGGUUAAUGGUCAUCGAGACCAAAAUCAGUUUAUAAACAUUCAUAAUCGGAUAAAAAAGCAUUAAAAACAAUUAUAACUGAAAGCCAAAGAGAAAGACACAUAAGCAUCCAGACAAGCCCCCCACACAGCAACUACCGGCUCAAGUAGAGAAUUGCUUCCACCACUCACUCAUAGUGAGAGCAAGGCGAACCAAGGUGGGACUUAUAAAAAAAAAGAACCAAUAACACAAAGAGAACUGGGUCUUCAGAACCAAUUCCUCCACAUCUAAAAUCUUACCGACAAACACAAAAUCAUUAAUGUAACAUGUGUCACAUUGCGUGAAUUUUGUAAAUUUUAAAUACUAAUUUUGCUUUCUACUCAUAAAAAUUGUGAACUUUAACCGAAAAAUUAUGAUAUAUUAAAAAUAUGUAUUAAGAACAGGGCCGACCCAAGCUAUAGGCAAACCAGGCAUUUGCUUAAGGCCUUGAUUUUUUAUUUUUUUUUUACCUAUUAUGCAUGGUACUUUUUUUUUUUUAGCGAAUCUCAUAUUUAUUUAUGGAAAUAAAAAAUUUAAGAGAAAUAAUACAAGUUGUCGAAUGAUAUAGCAAUUGAUUUGCUUAAUUUUAUAGAAAGACUUGGUUUUUUUCCAGAUGUGUAUAUUGGUUAUAGAAUAUAAUGUUAACAAUUCAUAUAAUUGUUGUGUCUGCAAAUUUGAAUUUGUUUUAUUGUUGAUUCAAAAAGAAAUGUUAAACUAAACCGAUUAUAAUAAUUUUGCAUCCAAAAAAAUAGAAAUCACUUUGAAUAAAAAUAUAAUUUUUGUAAAAUAAAUAUAUAAUUAAUAAUUUCUUUUUUGUACAAACUAGUAAUAACUUAAAAUGCUUCAAUUUAGAUUUCGCGUUGAGCAUCAAUAUGUGUUGGAACGGUCCUGAUUAAAAAAGUUUUAUGCUAUGUAUUUUUUUUACCAGUGAAUUAUAGAAAUCUCAUCCAUAAAUUUAAAAAGAGAGGUAAUAAGACAAGAUAACACAUUCAUCAUUUUUUGGAAAAGCUUAUCAUCAUUACAAAUACAUAGUCUGAUGCAAAUUUAUACAUGAUUUCUCCCGAAGAAAUAUCUAUCUAUACUAUAUAGUGGCAAGAUAGAUAAAUACACCAUUAUAUCAACACACAACAUUAUUUUUAUUCAUGAAAUAUAUUACUGAGAAAGAGUGCAUGGUGCAUGAAGAUAGAUAUCAUUAUGAUCAGUUUUGAGUUUUGUCCUCAGUUUGCUCGGCACCGUGACUACCGUGUCCACCUCCACCAUGGUUGUAACCACCUCAACCGUGGUGGUAACUACCUCGUCCAUGGUUGUAACUAGCUCCACCUUUGUUGAAACUACCACCUCCACCACCAUUUCUGGCAUCAUUUACUUCAUUAGUCUUUUCCUCAGUUUGCACGGCAACAGAUUCAGCAGCACCGCGACCACCAUGACCUCCUCCACGAUUGUAACCACCGUGACCUCCGUGGCCUCCACCACCAUUGUAACCACCUCCACCGUUGUGGUAACCACCUCCACCGUUGUGGUAACCACCACCGUUGUGGUAACCACCACCGUGGUUAUAACCUCCACCAUUGUAACCACCACCGUGGUUAUAACCACCAUGGUUGUAGCCUCCAUAUUUGGCAUCGUUUACUUCAUUAGUCUUUUCUACAACUUCUGCAAACACAAUAUAUAUGAAUCAUUACUUUAUUUAUAAUUAACUAGAAAAGAAUUUAAAAAAUAUAGAAAAUGCUUGUGAAAGUAUUUAUAAAGAAAAAUAAUAUAUAGCUCACCCUUUUUGGCAUCAGUGGAAGUUUCAGUUAAGUCCCUUGCGGACAUCACUGAGGAAAUAAGAGCCAUAGCCAAGAGGCCUAGCAUGAGGAUUGCCUUUUUUGAAUCCAUUGUUCAAACUUUAUUCAAAUGUGAUAUUUAGUAGUGAACUAUGAUAAAACUAAGUAAGAAGUGUGCUCUAUAUAUAAUGGAGGAGUGAAGUAGGGGACCUUUACUUGGUAGUUGAGAUGGUAGCUAGUGUGUAUUAAUUCAUUACUUUUUAGAUUCUCAAUGUAUCUAGUUUAUAUUAUAAACUAUAUACAUCUUUUAUACAAUUAAUCAAAAAAAAUGAAAUUUUAUUUAUAAUAGUGAUCGAAUAGUGUAUAUAUCUAUAAAUUUUAAACUAAUAUAGUUGUUUGAUGAUUUCGAUACCAUUUAUUUUGACUACUUCCUUCGAUCCAAAAUAAAUGAUCUUGUCGAUUGUUUUAAGCAUAUCAAUGCACAUCUUUGAUCUUUAAUACUCUCUUCAUCCUAGAUAAACUGAGUCAGUUGCUCAUUUCACACAUAUUAAGAAAAAUGUAUAAAUGAAGGAGAUAAAAAAAUGAUUAUAAGUGUUUUUGUUAUGUAUUGGUGCAUUCUCCACUAUCAUAAAUGCAAAGUAUAAUAUAUUGAAUUAAAAGUGAUGAAAGUAGUAUUAAUUAGAAUUAUAAUUAGAAGAAAAAAAAUAAUUAAUAUUGUAUUGAAAAAUGAAAUGAAUCAAUUAUUUUAAGACAAUAUUUUUUUACAAAAAGUUCAGUCAUUAUGAGACGGAGGAAGUAUUAUUUAUUUAUGUAUUAACAAAAAAUAUAAAAAGAAAUUGAUAUUUUAAAAAUAUUCAUUGAGACAAAUAAAAAAAUAUCUUAUAUAUUAUCAUUUGUCUUUAUAUAAUAGUAAAAAAAAAAAAAAAAAAAAAAAAAAAAAAAAAAAAACUAACAUAUACUAAGUGAAUAAUAGACAUAGUCAAAUAAUUUCAUAAUUGAGAGAGUUGUAAAGAUCGAAGGCUAUGAAAAUGGUGAUGAGUUAGGUCUACUUGCUAUUGGCUGAAAGUGACGUUUUGAAAGCAUGCUAUUGGUUCGUACUAACUAUCUCAUCCCAUGGAGAUACAUACAUUCAAACUUAUCCAAACAAAUUCAAAAUAUGUUUUCUAUAACUAAACAAAAUUAGCAAAAGAGUAUUACAGAGGUCACUCUAAACUUUUUAAAGAACAGUGUUGUUGAAUACCACUCCUUUCAAUUAGAUACAUAUCACAUUUUAUUGAUGAUAUGAAUGUUUAUUAUAAAUAAGACUAGAUGAAGUAGCCUUUAACAUCUUAUAAUUAUAUUUGCUUGAAAUGAUUACACAAAUUAAGAAACAAACUAUGUUUCUCAACCAUAGGUUCUUUAAUUACUCUAAAUAGUAAGAAAAACAUAAGUUUUUCUGAGGGGAGUAGGAAAAACAUAAGUUAAAAGCUUAAUACAGCUCAAAUUCCUAGAAUCCCUCGGCUAUGAGUGGAAAGCUUUCGUUUGGUUCGGUUUUUUACGACCAUAUAUUCAAACCAAGUAAGAAUAAUUAAUUUGUUUUAGGGAUGGCAAUUGGACUCACCUAAUGGAUACCCACAAAAAAAAUAAAAUUCACAAUGGAUAGGGUAAAACUCCGCUUUCUUGGGUAUGGACACGGGUCCGGGUAAUACCCACAAAUUGUUAUCAAUAUGGGCACGGGUAAAAGUACUAUACUACCCAGCCCCACAACCCCGCAUAUACAUAUUUAUAUAAUAUUUUAAAUAAUUAUUUAUUUUUGGUGUAUAAUUAAUUAAUUUAUUUUGCUAUUUAAGCCUAAACUCAAACCUAAAUAAAAAAACUACUUAAUACAAUAACAACUUCAUCUUGCCGAUGUACAAUUGUUUAGGGAUAUUUUAGAUGUUUUUUUAUUGGACCAUAGUUUUAUUUCAAUUGUGAUGUUUUUAUUCCUUUUUCAUAGCUAAAGUGCUGGUAAUGGGUGCGGGUAUGGACACUUAGGUACCCAUAGAGUAUGGGGAAGGGCACUAAAGUUGUUGCCCACAAGGGUACGGGCAUGAGUAUGGGUUUUCUUACAAAUCUGGGUAUGGGGAUGGACACUAUAGUACCCUAUCCAUUGGGUACCCAUUGCCAUCCCUAAUUUGUUUUGACUUGGAUUUUACAAUUUUGUAUUAAAUCCAAAUGAAAGUUAAGUGAUUAAAAAUGGGCUAGCUUGCCUCAAAUAAUCAGUUUGGUUGAUAUUUUAAAAUUUAAUAUUUUUUAUAAAUUUUAAAAAAUUAAGUUUUCUUUAAGAAUAUUAUAGAUUUUUUAACAUUAUUUUUUUUAUCAGAGGGAAAUCAAAGACACAAAAGAAAAAAAAACUAAAUAAUUCGUUGUCUAAACACCCCAAAGACACCACCAAGUAAGACGAGAUCCAACUCUUUAAGAGGGGACACCCAUAACUUCGUAGUGUCGACAUUCUUUACACUUAUCAAUCAAUCAACACAUUAGUUGUCUUCUCUUAAAGUAUGAUUAAAGAAAACCAACCAAAAAAGACAAAUGGACUUCCUAAUGAGGGAAUAUAAGUUGCAAGAGGGUGGAAAUCCUUAUGUUGAAAAUCAGUGAUCAAGUCUAACGCAGACUUAGUUACAAUGAAAAAAAAUAAAAUAUAAUGACUAAAAAAUACAUGAAAUUAACAUAUUUGUAAUAUAAAACUAUUAAUAGGGCAUGAUAUUUAACAAUAAGGAAAAAGCAAUCCUUCAACUUUCGGAUAAACUUAAGUUGUUUUCUUUUUGGUUGUUGAAGGCAAAUUUAUAUGCUAAUUUUGUUUUAGGUUAUCAUAGUUGGUGGAUUUUAUCUUUUGUUUGCUUGGGUAAUGGUUAAUUUCUUUAUGUUUUGUUUUGAUAGGAAGAAUGUUUGUUUUGGUAGUAAUAUGUUUUAUUUUUCCUUGUUUAAAAAGAGAUAUAGUAUGAAAUAUAAAUAAUUAGUGAUAAAAUAUAAUAUUUUGGUUCGAUUUACAGGUGAUUUGUUUUAAAUGUUCUGAAACCGAUAUUCAAACAAUAGUGAUCAAAUUUGAUUAGUGUGUGUGGUUCAGGUUAUACAUACAUGAGCAUAAAAAAACACCAAUUUAGUUUAUUUGCAUUGAAUGUUUGCAUUCUACGAGUUAUUGGUUUGAUUCUUACACCUCAUCAUAAACAAUAUAGCAUAUAAUAUUUAUUUAUUUUCCUCUUUGUAUUAAAGGGUAUACAAAACAUUUUUCAAAUGAGAUAACAAGAUUUUAGUUUUCAAAUGAAUGGUUGAUUCCAUAUUUACAAGGAAGUGAGAAGAAUUCACAGAACACUUGGAUAGGUCAUUUUCUUUCCAAAAAAAAAAAAAACUAGGAUAGGACGUUUGGUGCCCCCAUUCAAUUAAUUCAUUUCUAAAAUCGACAUUGUUUUUUGGUGAGAUUCGCAAGUGGCACGCCACGUAAUUGUACAAGUUCCACAUGCAUUUGACUUUAGCAAACAUUAUCAAUCUUGGAUUAGAUCACGUGUUUGUUCUCAUUAGUUUGAUACUCCAUAAUUUAGAAUCUGUUUCUGUGGUGCAGUAUCUGUUUAGGAGGAAAUGAAUUAAGUGAAAAUCUCUCUUUAAGAUGUAAUAAUAAUUGAGAAAAACUGAAAUUGUUUCAAUUGAGAUUCAUUUCUAAAAUAUGUUUUUAAUCAAUAUAAAAAUACGAGAUUUCAAUUUUAGUCCUGCAUAAUUUUAAUAGUAAUUUUAAUCCGUACGAAAUGAUUGUUAAGAGGUGACAACUAGGGUACCAUGAAAAAAUGGUGGGUAAUUUAUUCUAACCAAUAAAUAUUCACUUUUUAAAGUGGUAUCCAUAAACUAUCUUGACCCCACCAAUAAAUUGCUCAUUAUGAUUGGUUGGUGGAUAAAUUACCCACCAUUUUUCAAAGGUAAUCUAGAAAAAACCUUGUUAAGAUAAUUGGUCCUUCAUGUCAAAUGGGUUGCUAAUUGAGCUAAACGAAUCAUGACUAGAUACGUCAUACGAUCAUUUUGAUUGACGUACGUUGCUGACUCGUGGUUGUGAGAAAAACAUCAAAGGAGGUUGAAUUGUGUAGUAUUUCUUAAGAAUUUUUUUUAAGUUAAAAACCAUUCAUAGAAUUUUUACUAUAAAAAAAAAAAAUCAAUCAUAGAAUGCAAAAGAUGAUCAGAGAUAAGAGAAAAGAAUGACACAUAUUUUUCCUAGUUCAUCCCACAAUUUGGGAUUACGUUAUGUCCCUUCACACAAGAGAGAUUUUUUUUUCUCACUAUAAUCACAUAAGAUUGCAAUUACUUGGACACACAAAUACAUAUCAACUAAACUCUCUUGUAAGGACUUGAAUCGAGUCCUAGAUUGCUCUUCAAGUCCAUUUGUUUCUGUUUUUGUACGAACAAUGAGGAUUUACCGCAAAAUCAGGGAGUGUUACUCAUUUGUGGUUGGUCAUACACUCCUUCUUCUGCACCUUCUUUAAUAUGCAGGGGAGGGGGUGCUUCCGUAAGAUACUUUGAUGCUCAAGUCAGACGAGGUACAAACAAAGAGCAUACAUAUAUUGUAUAUGAGUAUGAGUGUGAUAAAAUUGGAAUGAUAUGAAGUUCAUCGUACCAAGGGAAGGUGCCCCCUAUUUAUAAUGGUUGAUAUGAUGACAGACUCCUUGUUGGUUGCAAUCUAAUUUCCUUAUCUUCAAGAUGGUUUGUUACGAGGCUAAUUUGGAUAUCAUAGUAACGAACUUUCCAGAAUCUUGUAAUUACGAGUGACACAUGUAUAUCCGAGUGUAACAUAAUCCGAGGUAGAUGUGCUCAUCUAUGCAGUUUAGAUAAGGUACGAAUAUAUAGGAUCGAUCUCGUAGCUAACUAAAUGUUUGUUAUGCUUAGAGGAACUAGAGCGUGUAGGCGCUUAUGUCGAUCUACCAAGUGGCUUUUUUUUAUCUUGUGGAGGUGUUGAUGUGUAUCAGACAUCAUUCCGAGGUGUUAGUUAUGACAAGGUGGUAUAAGAGAUUAGUCAUAUUUUAUGCCACAUGUCACAUUUAGGUGGUAAUCUUGAUGUUCUUUGACUUGGUCCAUUUGUUAGAUCUUCCUAUGUUAUUCCUGAAGAGCUAAUUUGCUUGGACUCCUUAAUGAAUGACUAGCCUGGCCUAAUUUGCUUGAAUUCCUUAAUGAAUGACUAGCUUGGACCUUUUAGGCCCAUACUGGUAGAUUAUCCCCCUAGCCCUUGGUCAUGCAGUGGACAAUUGGUCUAAGAGUAUUGAAGUGAAAAUUUUUGAAUUUUACCCGAUGUAGAUAUAUUUGAUUUUUUUUAUGAUACGAUUUUAGUUUAAACCCGAUUUAGAACUCGAUUUACAGAUGGUAUACCCCCUGACUUGCAACUUAGAGGUGAGGUGAAAGUCUAAAGGAUUUUUCAUAUGAUACUCAAUGGUUUGUUUUGCUUCAUUUCUUGAGCAUUAUGACAUGUAUUCGUAGCACGACGUGACAAUGAGACAAUUGCUUUUUUAGGGGUGCAAUUUGAUAUGUUAGAUUUGUUAAUGGAAAGUUGUAUCGUUUGAUCGUACGUGAUGAAACAUUUUCAAUCAUUGAUGAACGGUUCCAUCCAAUUUGAAUACUUGCUACUUUCUCCCCCACCACCACCACAACUUGAUUUAAGUCAUGAAGUGCUUUUGCGACUCAUAUUUCCUUAUGUUUCAAAUUUUUCAUUCAUCCCUCCUGCUAAGCUCCGUUCUUGCUUUCUCUUUAUGUUUAAACAAUGUUUGUACAAAAGCGCUUUGAUUGAUGCACUCUUCUUUGAGAAUUGGAAUGAAUUUUUGUCUGAUCCUAAUGGGUGGCACCGUUAGAGUGUUUAAGGAGAGGUUACUGUUUUGUUUUUGUUUUUUGCUAAUUAGUUAUCAACAAAAAAAUUCACAUACCCUAGAUUCUUAAAACUCAUUCAACAUAUCAUUUUAUCUAUAUGUGUAUCAUCAUAUCAUUUCAUUAAUAUAUCACAUCACUCUCAAUUGUCUCUUUCACUCUUUUGGGAUGUACGUCAACUAUUAGAGUGUCCAUCAAACAUUAUUGCUUACUUAUUUGUAUAUGGAUACUCCUUUCAUAAUAAUAAUAAUAAUAAUAAUAAAGACUUAUUCCAUCAUGUGCAAAAUUGCACAUAUUAAAAAGUUUAAAAUAGAAAUUUUGUAUUGAAACUUGUAUAUUUAAUAUUAAAUAUAAUUUUUUGAAUAAAUAAUAUACGUUGCUCUAAAAAAAAUGAGAAAGCAUAAAUAAAUAAAAAAAAAACUCAAAUGGAAAUAUCAACGGGUCCCAUUAAGCUCCUUAUAAUAAACGGUAGUUUGAAUGGGAUCCGAAGAACCAUUAAUGCAUGCAUAUGUAUGUAGGAGUAUAUGGUAAUUGAAUGAACUUAAAAGGUCAAUUUUGCUUAUAUUUAAAAAUGGAGGGAGUACCUUCCAACAUCUUAAUGCGCCUACUUAAGUCACAAGCUUGUGUUACCAAACUCGACAGUAUACGGUAAUUCUUGCCUAUCAAAAAGGUGUGUAUAGUUCAUGCUAAGUUGGUAUCAAUGGAAAUCAUUUGUUUGUCUCUUAAAAAAAAUACUUUAUUUUUAUUUUUAUUAUAUAUAUAUAUAUAUAUAUAUAUAUAUAUAUAUAUAUAUAUAUAUAUAUAUAUAUAUAUAUAUAUAUUAUAUAUAGAGAGAGAGAGCGCAUUGUAUUGUCCAUGUCAACUUAGAUGUGCUAAUGGUCACUGUAUAGUUUUAUAAAAGGUUUGCAUUUUUUACAAUAUUUCGAAUAGUUAGAAUACAAAUUGGAUCCACUAAAUAAAUUAUAUACACCAAUUACUAUUGUCCAUAUGAAUUUUAUACACCAACAGGUUCAACCUAUGUGUUUAAUGUGCCGUGUCUGAAUGUUUGUAAAUUUCAAGUACUAAUUUUGUUUCCCACCCAUAUAAAAAUUGUGAAUUUUAUCUAAAAAACUAAAUUAUUAAAAAUAUGUAUUAAGAAGUUUUAUGCUACAAAUUUUUUGAUCGGUCAAUUUUCUUAGAUAUCUCAUCCAUAAAUUUAAAACGAGAGAAAGUAAUAACAACGUAAUACACAUGAUAACACAUUCAUUUUUUGGAAACGCUCAUCAUCGUCACAAAAUACAUAGAUUGUUGCAAAUUUAUACAUGAUUUCCACUAAUGAAAUAUCUAUAUUACAUAUAGUGACAAGAUAGAUAAUACACAACAACUUGAAAUUGUUGUGCCUUUUUUUGAUCAACACACAACAUUAUUUAUUCAUGGAAUUUAGUACUAGAAAGAGUGCAUCAUGCAUGAUCAUAGCAUUAUGAUCAGUUUUGAGUAUUGUCCUUAGCUUGCAUGGCAACAAAUUCAGCAUGCGAGCAGCACCUGCCAUGGCAAUGGUAUUGGCAACCACCUCCACCGUGGUUGUAACCGCCUCCACCAUGGUUGUAGCCACCACCAUUGUAACCGCCUCCACCAUGGUUGUAGCCACCACCGUUGUAACCACCUCCACCAUGGUUGUAUCCACCACCAUUGUUGUAUCCACCACCACCGUGGUUGUAACCUCCACCAUUGUUGUAUCCACCCCCACCGUGGUUGUAACCUCCUCCAUUGUAACCACCACCGUGGUUGUAACCUCCACCAUUGUAACCACCACCAUAUUUGGCAUCAUUUACUUCAUUAGUCUUUUCAACAACUUCUGCAAACACAGCACACAUAUAUAUAUAAUAUAUCAUAUAUGAAAAGAAUUUAAAAAAAUAUAGAAAAUGCUCGUGAGAAUAUAUAUAUAUAAAGAAAAAUAAUAUAUAGCUGACCCUUUUUGGCAUCAGAGGUAGUUUCAGUUAAGUCCCUGGCUGAGACUUCUGAAGAAAUAAGAAGAACCAUAGCCAAGAGGCCUAGGAUGAGGAUUGCCUUUUUCGAAUCCAUUGUUCAAUAUCUGUUCAAAUGUAAUAUUUGGUAGUGAACGAUGAGAAAACUAGUAAGAAGUAUGCUCUAUAUAUAAUGGAGGGAAGGAGAGGGAGAUGUAAGGACCUUUACUUGGUAGUUGGGAAGGUAGCUAGUGAGUAUAAAUUCAAUCUUAUCUAUAAAUUUUGAAAUAUUGUUUGGUAAUUUUGAUACUAUUCAUAAUCUAUACUAUGUACAACAAAAAUGCAUGGUUUUAGGAUGAUUUUUUCACUUUCAAUUAUACUCUUACAAAAUUGCCUAUAAAAAUGUUAUAUUAUUGACGUCAUUUAAAAAUAUAUGAAUUUAUACUAUAUUUGUUAUAGGGUAAAAUAUGCUUUUCAUCCCUGCAAUUAUAGGCCGUUUGAUUUUUCAUCCCUGAGCUUACUAAUCCUCCCAUUUUGCCCUUGUAAUUACUAAUCAUUUGAAAGUUCGUCCCUCUUCCCAGAUAAUCACUGCCACAUCAUCAAAUUAGCAAAAUGGCAUGGGAAUUGACAAAAAUACCCCUGAUCUAUUUUUAAAAUUCUGAAAAUUGUUUUUAUAAAUUAAAAAAUCUGAAAAUAAUUUUAAAAAAUAAAAAAAUUAUAAAAAUAUUUUGAAAAUAACUUUUUCGAAAAAAAAUGAAAUAAUUUUUCACAUAAUUUUAAAAAAUAUAUAAUCAGAUUUUUUCGAAAUUAAUAUUCUGAAUUUUAAAAAAAUCUUUAAAAAAAAUCAGAUUUUUUAAUAAUUUUCGAAAUUAUAUAUUCAGAUUUUAAAAAAUUAUAUAAUUUUAUAUUUUUUUCAUAUUUCAAAAAAUUAUAUUUUUUUAAUUUUUUAAAAUUAUUUUCAGAUUUUUAAAUUUUUAAAAAUAAGUCAGGGGUAUUUUUGUCAAUUCCCAUGCCAUUUUGCUAAUUUGAUGACGUGGCAGUGAUUAUCCGGGGAGAGGGACGAACUUUCAAAUGAUUAGUAAUUACAGGGGCAAAAUGGGAGGAUUAGUAAGCUCAUGGAUGAAAAAUCAAACGGCCUAUAAUUGCAGGGAUGAAAAGCAUAUUUUACCCUUUGUUAUAUUAUAGGUGUCAUCGGAAAAUAAAAUUGAAGUUUAUCACAAUAUAAAAAUACAAAAUAUCUAUAAUUUUAAUUUUAAAUACAAUCAAAAUUUCAUAUAACUGUCGUUUGAAUGUCUUAACACAAUAAAAAUAGUGGACAAACUAACAUGAGAUAUCUUUCAAACGAAAGGGAAUAGUAAAAAUCGGAGGCUAUGAAAGUGAAGUAGGAUUAUAUUUGCAAUUGGCUGAAAGCGACAAACUAUUGAAAGAAUACUACUGGUGGUUCAUAACUGCUAUCUCAUCUCAUGGAGAUACAUAGAUCCCAACUAAAUAAAAGAAUUGGCAAGAGAGUACUCUCUCCGAUUUUUAUCAUAAAAAAAAAUAUUGAAAAAACAUCAAAUUCAAUGCAAUCAUUAAUUAAUGUAACUUUUUGAAUAUUUUUAAAAAAGAUGUUAUUGGUCUUUAAUUUGAGGUGGUAUGAGUAUUCUUAUCGUCCUUCGGUAGGAGCGUCAGGUUGUUUAUAAACUGUGCGGGGUUGUUUUUGUUGGAGGUGUAGUCAUCGUACAAUUUUGAGCAUGUUCUGGAUCCCAUGGUAUGUUUCUUACUAAUAAUAUAUAAUUACAAAUUUUAUUUGGCAAAUAUAUAUGAUCCAUGUGAUAAUGUAGAUAAGAAAUUUUUAUUUGACAAGUUAUUUGCAAGUCUUGGUGUAUGGGAGGGGAAGAACUUUUGUGUGUGUGGUGAUUUUAAUGUGGUUCGGUGUAUGGAAGAAAGGAAAUCAAUUAGGGAAGUAGUACAUUAUGAAGACAUUGAUCCUUUUACUAGAUUUAUUGAGGAGAAUUUCUUAGUUGGUCUCCCUCUUGGGGGUCAUGCAUAUACUCGGUAUUAGAGAGACGGUAGAAACAUGAGCCACCUGGAUAGAUUCCUGUUAUCUGGAGCUUGGUGUUUGACUUAGACUAAAUGUUUUCAGAUGGCUCAAAUUAGAGGUUAUCAGAUCAUUAUCCUAUUGUGUUGUUUCGUUGAUGACAAAAUUGGGGGCCCAAACAACCGCAUAUGUUGAAGUGUUGGUUAGAGAUUCCAAGUACUAAGUAGUUUGUUUGUGAUCAGUGGAGGUCUUUUCAGGUUGAUGGUUUGGGUGGUUACGUGCUUAAGGAGAAGUUUAAGUUGAUCAAAUCGGCGCUUAAACUAUAGAAUAAUAAUCAUGUUCAAAAUUUGUCAGGGAGGAUUUCUGCUAUUAAGGAGAGAAUAGCUUUGUUAGAUUGUAAAGGGGAAAUUGAGUUGUUUUCGGAUGCGAGUCUGAGGAGUUACGUGGGCUGAUGGGUGAUUUAUAGUUUUUAUCUCGUAUAAAUACUAGUAUUUGUUGGCAAUAAUCUAGGCUACUUUUGCUAAAAGAAAGAGAUUCGAACUAUAAGUUUUUUCAUGGCAUUACUUCUAGUCAUCAUCGGCAGGGCAAUAAUCUUAAUUCUAUUAUUGUUGAAGGCGCUCGGGUGGAAGGAGUGUCUAAUGUGUGUACUGCAAUUUUUUCUCAUUUUGUGGCUCAUUUUAAGGCGGGUAAUGUUGAUAGACCACUUGUGGAUGAUCUUCAUUUUCAUACUAUAUUGCCUAUGGAUGGAGUGAAUUUGAUUAAGGAUUUUAGUCUAGAGGAAGGGAAAGUUGCAGUCUGGGAUUGUGACAGUUUUAAAAAUUCUGGGCCCGGAUGACAUUAAUUUUAGUUUUAUAAAGGAGUUUUGGCCUGAAUUAAAAGGUGAUCUCAUGAGGUUCAUUUCAGAGUUUCACCGCAAUAUAAGAUUAACGAAAGAUAUUAAAUGUACCUUAUCUUCUCCUUUUUAUCAUCUUUAUUCACUUUGUAUUUUAAUAUCUUGUUAUUGUCUCUCUUCACUCUCACUUGGUAUGUGUAUAUAUGUUUAGAUUAACUAAUUUCUCAAUAACUUAUUAAUUUUUUUUGUUUAUGUGUUUGGUGUGAAAGAAGGACAUCAAGUAUAGAUAGGUUUUUAUUUUUAUUUUUGAAAGAUCAAGUAUAGAUAGGUUGAAACUGAGUAAUCGAGCAAACUUUCGUAUGGUAGCUCAUAUGAAAAAUUAAGCGUUUAAAACAAAUGUAGCAAUAAAAAAAAAAAUUGACUUGAAGUCAUCAAAGAGAUUUUUUUUGACACAUAGUCAUCAAAGAGAUAGAUCUAUCGAGCAAUGAUAUAUAGUGUCACAUGAACAUGUUUUUUAAACUUCACAUUCUAACUUGCAUAUAUUUAUUUUGAUUCCUUACAAAAUGGUUUAUAUCUCCGAUAUGCAAUGUGUAGAUCCCUUGGACGGUUGCAGGAGCAGAACAAUGUUUCAAGUCUAUUUAUAAUAACAAAACAACCCAAACAAAAAUUAUAAGAAAAAAAAUUAUAUAUUCAUAGGGGUCGUAGGCGUAUUUGAAUCUAGGUUUGCAUAUAUACAUUAGGCUUAAAUAUAUUUUUAGUCUUUUAUCUUUUACAACAAAUGUAUUUUGGUUAUUUAUCUUAUUUUGGUCCUUUUUUGUCAAAAAAAAAAAAUAUUUUUUCUCUAUUUUUUAAAAAUUGGUAUCUUUUUAAAAAUUAGAGAAAGUUGAAAACUAUAAAUCCACGUGGCUUCCGGUUUGUCAAUUGUAUUGUAGCAAUCUAAUCUCCUCUAAAGGAGUGCGUCAAAUCCUUUUUUUAAAAGGACGUCUCAAUAAAAUCUCCUUCUAAUAUUUAUGUUCUUGUUUUCGAUUUCAACAAUCUUUUUCACUAUUCCGAACAAACAACAGUGUCUUUCCUUCUUUUUUAUCAAGUAGUAUAGUGACUAAAAUUUAUAUUUUUUAAGGUGAAUGAGUUGAGUGUCUAGAGUUAGAACUCUAACAUCUGCAUAUAAUAAUGUCUGUCUCUGGUAACUAAACUAAUUUCCUUUUCUAAAACCAAAAGCCUAAAAUUUUCCUUAAAGCCUAAACUAUUCACCUUAAAUAUAAAUUUUAGUCAUUCACCUUGAAAAAUAUAAAUUUUAGGCUUUUCUCAUGCCACGUAUUAAAAUUCUGUCACUGAUGUUAUAAUUUAUGAUUAAAAGACUAAAUCCUAAAUCUUUUUAAAAAUAUAAAUAAAUUACCAAAAUAUGAUAAAAUUAAGAUAAAGCAUCAAAAUGUAUUUUUAAUAAAAGAUAAAAGACUGAAAAUAUAUUUAAGUCAACAUGUUAAGGGAGGAAGGGACCAUGGGGACCCUCGACUACCCUCCCUAUGUCCUUUGUCCUUACUGCUCAUGUCACAAUAACAAGUAAAUGAUUUUUAAGAUAUUUUGAAUAUUCAACUGAUGUACUUGUGCUAAAUUAAAUUGCCAGCAACAAACGAUAAUGAGAGUCACCCACUUAGUUCAGUUUUUCUUUUUCAUCAAAUCUAACAAAAUUUAUGCAUUAAAUGUUUCUCUAUUUUCUUCUAUAGGUACAAAUUUGCAGUUAUGAGCAUUUAAUGUUAGCAAAAAUAUAUCCAAAUAGCAUUGCAAUUUUUGAAAAAUAUUAUGAUUCACAUGAUCUACUCAUCCAAACAAUGAUAACAAUUUUUUUUUUAAAACAUUGUUGCCGACUCUAUUAUGAUGUUACUCCCUCCGUUCCUUUAUACAUGUCAUUUUAUAUAAUUUUUUUGUUUCUAAUUAAGUGUCAUUUUCAAAGUUCAAUGUAACAUUAAAUGUUGUUUUUCUUAUAAUGCCCUUAGUAAUUUAUUGCAGAGAGAUAAAUUUAAGAAAUAUAAUAUUAAAUAAUUAAGGAUAUUAUAGGCAAACCAUAAGUUAUUGUAUCAAAAGUAGUGAAAUACAUUUAAUGUUUUGGUUUGUGUAAAAAGUCAAAAUAUGAUAAUUAAAAAGGAACGGAGGGAGUAUGAUUUAGUGAUAAGUAAGUGGCAUGCUUGGCAAUGUCUAAUUUGACACAAUUUUUGGCAUUAAAAUUUAUGAGUUAGACUAACAAAUACUUUUAGGGUACUUGUUAAAGAUUCAAAAAUAAAAAUAAUUGAAUAUACAAUUUUUAAGAUUAUUAAAAUUUCACUUUAAAUUUCUAAGCAAAUGUCAUAAGGACACUUGUUAACAUCUUACAAAAUUCAUUUGUAGUCAAACUAGUACAAAUAACAUUUCCAUCGAAUGAGAAUCAACUCCAAAAUUUCACGGUGAUCGUUGUACUUUAUUUAUACUUUUGUACUCCAACAACUUUUCUAUAUUUAUAUAUAAUUAAAAUGAAUUUUGAUUGUUAUACAUUUAAAAAAAAUUAUUCUAAACUAUCUAAAUAGUAUAAAUUGAUAAGAAUCAAACAAGCAUGUAUUCAAACAUAAAUCAAGUUACUUUCAACUCAAUUUUAAUCAAAAAUCAAUUCUACAAAACUCAAUUUUCACCCUCACAAAGCUAAACCCACACUUUAAUGACCUAAACCAUAAAGAUACCUUGAAAUAUCUGCUCAAUGCUAUAUGGAAAUAAAAUAACAAACGUAACAAUGAAAAUUGAAAGCCACACAAAUGUUUAGUGUCUCUUGGGCAAGACGAAAAUACCAAAUUAAAUCCUCUCAUUUCUUCUUAUAACUCAAUUUAUAAUAAAUUAUGGAGAAUGUUAACUAUUGUCUCAAAAACAUUGGUUAAACAUCUAAAAUAAUAAGUUUUCAUAAAAAAGUUGUGUAAACAUUAUUUGAUCAAAAGUAACAUCUUAUAUUUUCAAAACAAAAUUUCUAUUUGUAGAUUCAUUAACCAUUAACCGGAAGACACUGGUUAGAAAGACCCAUAAAUUAUUUAUGAGAUGUAAUGCUAACCGUUAAGGAUACUAGAAAAUGAAGUUAUUACUUAAUUAUAUUUUUUUUUUACUUUUUAUGGAUUAAUUUCACAAUUUUAAUUCAAUUAAUACUAUAUAAUUUCCUUCUUUAGUUUCUUUAACUACUUUCUCAAGGACACUGAUUAACAUUUCCUUUAUAAUAAUGAUCGAUGAACUAUACGUGUUGUAACUUUUUAAUUUUUUUUACAAAUAUACCUUUAAUGGAAGUUGUGAAACAUUAAAUACAUUCACUAAUAAUAGAAAUACAAUUAUUAAAUAAGGGGUAGAAAAGUCUUUUAAGCAAUAACUAUGUGACAUUUUCUUUUAAAAAUGACCAAUUUUUUUUUUUUAAAAAAACUUUCUUAUAUUAAGGACCAAAGGGACUAAAUUCAUCCAUUGUAGUCAAUUUAUCUAUAAAUGAGUGUUUUUUGAACAACCAUUUAAUUAAACACUUAUAAAGCAACCAUAAUUUACAAAAAAAAUAUUUACACAAAAACUAAAGCAAUAUAAAAAUGAAAUAAAAAAUAAUGUUAAUAUAUGAAAAAUUUAUCAUAAAAUGAAUAUUCAAAUUUCAUUUCUCUUAUCUAACCAAUCUUCCUUUUCCUUAUAUGAAAGUUACAAAGCCGCCACAAAAGACUUUCCUUCAAUCAUUGUAAGGAUAACUCAUUCAGUACGUGGACAUGGUCCUCGAAUUCAAUCAUGUGGAACCAUCCAUAGGCAUAGCCAUAAAUAUUUAGAGGUUCAUGUUUCCUUCAUCAAUGGCAAUUUUAGCAUAUGAUAAUGAUUGAUGUCUUUAUAGGAGUGUUUUCGAUCAACCCACAAAUCUUGUGCUUAUAGAUACUCUUGUUUAAAGAGUUGUCUAGAACCAAAUAUUUUUAACAAAAUUCAAUAUGGUAAGUUACUAUUAUUAUAAAACUUAUUUAAGUUGGAUUGAGUAUAUAAUGAAAUAAAAUCAUUUGAGAAAAAUUAUUUGUCUCAAAAUACUUUUUUUUUUUGUAGGGAUUUGUCUCACAAUACUUAAAGCCACUAAGUAGUAACCAUUGUUUUUAUCAUGAAUUUAUUUUGUGAUUUUUUAUACAUAAUUUUAUUAAAAUUGAGGUGUUAUAAAUAUUUUUAUGAGGUCUUACAAUAAAAUGACAAAUCAUUUGGAAGGCCUCAAGUUUGAAUCAUAGCUGAACAAUUUUUAAUCAUGCCUUUUCUACUUUAUAAGUGAACUUGGGUCAGUAUUUUUUUUUUCAUAAAGAUAAUAAGAUUGUUACUAGCAUUUAAACUAUUACCCGCAUAUAAAUUACGAAAAAUAGUUUUUAUAGAAUUUUAAUUACAAUUAUAUUGAUCUUGAUUAAAAUUAUAGGUAUAGAUAAUAGAUAUUUUUCAAUUUUAUAUUGUAACAAACUAUAAUUAUCUUUUUCAAUGUUAACAAAAAUAUAAUAAAUUUAUUUUUAUUUUUUUGAAUGAUUUCAACAAAAUAGUAUUUUUAUAAUCAAAUUUGUUUAAGAAUAUAAUUGAAAAGAAAAAAUAUGCAUAAAACGGCUUAUUUUUUUUGACUGGUGCUAGUCACACCCCAAAAAAAACAAGUUACACCCCAGAAUGACUAAUAUACCCCUAAGUUGAACAUAAGUAAACUAAAUUUACAUUAACCUAAAUUGAACAUAAGUAAACUUAAUUUACAUUGAACAUAAGUAAACUUAAUUUACAUUGAACAUAAGUAAACUAAAUUUACAUUAACCUAAAUUGAAUAAGUAAACUGAAUUUACAUACUGAACAUAAGUAAACUUAAUUUACAUUAACCUAGAUUGAGUAAACUGAAUUUACACUAACCUCUUAUAUCUAGAUUGAACGUAAGUAAACUAAAUUUACAUUAACCUAGAUUGAACAUAAGUAAACUAAAUUUACAUUGACAUAAGUAAACUAAAUUUACAUUAACCUAAAUUGAACAUAAGUAAACUGAAUUUACAUUAACCUAGAUUGAACAUAAGUAAACUGAAUUUACAUUAACCUAGAUUGAACAUAAGUAAACUUAAUUUACAUUAACUUAGAUUGAGUAAACUGAGUUUACACUAACCUCUUAUAUACAUGUAAACUGAAUUUACACUAAUCUAGAUUGAACGUAAAGUUAACUAAAUUUACAUUAACCUAGAUUGAACAUAAUAAGUAAACUUAAUUUACAUUGACAUAAGUAAACUAAAUUUACAUUAACCUAAAUUGAACAUAAGUAAACUUAAUUUACACUAACCUAAAUUGAACAUAUCUCAUACCAAAACAAACAAUAAACAAAUAGAAACUCAUUGAAAAUGAAAUUCAUGAAAUUCACUAAUCUUUAUGAAUAUAGUACAAAUCAAUAACAAAGAUGUUGAUUCAAAUAUUGGUUGCACAUCUAUGGUGAUUUGUGGAUGAAAGGGGGUAAGGGUUCAGAAUGAUCAUAAAAGAUGGAUUUUUAAAAAUUUACAUGAAAAGGACAAUUUUGGUAUUAUUGUAAAAAUUUAAAUAAAUUUAGGUGUAACUAAUUUUUUUUGGGGUGUGACUAGCACCAGUCAUUUUUUUUUAUAGAUAUAGAGUAACACUUGUUUUGCAAAAUAAUAUAGUACACAUUCUCCAUAAUUAUAAACAUAAUUUCUUCUUAAAGAUAAUUUCUUGUUUUGCAAAAUAAUUUCCUGUUGGUAAAAAAAAAAUAAACAUAAUUUAUUUUUAAGAUUCAUUGAAUAACUGUUUUUUUUAAAAAAACUUUAUUAGAUGAUUAUUGUAUCUGAUCUAUAUAAAUAAAAUACAUUGAUUAUUUAAUCAAUAUGAAAAAAAAAAAAAAAAUUAACUUAUAAUAUUGACGGGAUGAGAAUUUUCAGUUGAUUUUAUUGAUUGAUGCUAUCUAUAUUUAGACCAGAGAAGGGUCUAGUUGUUGCCCCGGCAACUAAUAGACCACUCAUAUGUGAUAACAGGGAAGUGAGAAGAAUUCACAAAAUACUACACGUGUCCUUUGGUGUCCCCAGUCAAUUAAUUCUUCCACAUUGACACUUUGACAAUAUUGAGGCAUUAAAAGCAAUGGAUUUUUCCUUAAAAAAAAUGUAGGGUUAAUUAAAUUUUGACUAAAGUGCAUUUUUCCACCCCUAACUUUAAAAAACUUACAAUUUUGACCUCUUAAGUACAAAAACUAUAAUUUUGGCCCCCUAAGAUUUAACCCCUUUGCAACUUUGAUCAUUUUUGUCAAUUUUGACCGGUCAAUGCCUAUAUGGCAUGCCACGGAUGUAAUUAAUGAAUUAAAAAUUAAAAAAACCAUAUAAUCAUUUUUUAAAUCAAAUUAAUGAAAAAUGAAAUUAAAAAAAAAAAAAUAGGAUAAAAAUUAAAAAUAAAAUUCAAAUCCCUCAAUCUUUUAUUUCUUCUUCUUCAUCAUCUCUUCCUCUCAAAACACCCACUGUCACUCUCCUCCGACCACCAUCGGCGGUGACACCUCCUCCUUCUUAUUCAACAAUGCCUCUAUCGCAGCCGUCAUCCAACUUCUUUUUGUGGUGUUUCUUUUUUCUACCCAAUUUGGUUUCUUCUGUUGGUUUUUUAUUUUACCUGCUUUUAAACUUUUGUUUGUUUUUGUAUCUUUUGUAAGAAAAAUUAAAUUUCCAUAACUCUUAUUAAUUAUCUUAAAUACAAAAGAUGAAAAAAUGAGAGAAGAGAACAAUGAAACAUGUAGCACCGCUAGCUAUGUAAGAAUAGUAAUGUCGGGAAUUGUUGGUGAAAAAGUUUGUGUGUGGAAUUGGAAAUAUAACAGUAGAUUUGGAUGUGUUCCAGCCUCUAUCAUCACAGCCGCUUACCUCCACUACAUCAGCCACCAUCUCCAACUUGAGAAUCUUCUUCACUCAUGUUUCAAGGUCUUUUUUCAUUUAUUAAUUCAUGAGCUUAAUUUCACUACAACUUACAAAACGUUUGAUCAGUUAUAUAGUAUAUAUCUUCAUGAAAAUGGACUAGAACAAAAAGAACAAGAAAGUGAAGAGUUUGUAGAUGAUAUGUGUUGGUGAUGAGGAUGAAUGGUGAUAAUGAAUAUUAGAAGAUGAUGGAUGGUGGUACUUGUGAUGGGGGAAGAUGAUAUGUGCCUCUCCUUCUUCAUCUGCUUGUAUUUUUAUUUUAUUUUUCCUGAUUUUUUUAAUUUUUUAAUUUUAUUUUUCAUUUAUUUAAUUUAAAAAAUGAUUAUAUGAUUUUUUAAUUUUUUUAAUUUAUUAAUUACACACGUGGCAUGCCACGUAGGCAUUGACCGGUCAAAAUUGACAAAAAGGAUCAAAGUUGCAAAGGGACUAAAUCUUAGGGGACCAAAAUUGUAGUUUUUGUACUUAGGGGGUCAAAAUUGCAAGUUUUUAAAAGUUAGGGGGGAAAAAGUGCACUUCAGCCUUAAAUUUUUUAUCCUAUAAAUAGCUGCAGUUUUGUUUUUAGUCCUUAUAAAAAUAAAUUACAUUUUUUAGUCCCUAUUUUUCGUUAGCGCUUUUAGUUCCUAUAAAAUUUUUUGUCAGCAUUUUUAGACCCUAUCAAAAAUUUCCAUCAACAUUUUUGGUCUCUAAAAUGCUUAGGGAAAAUUUCACAGGGACUAAAAAGUGUGAUUUUAUUUUAUAGGAACUAAAAUCAAAACCGUGAAUAUUUAUAGGGGUUAAGAACUUAAUUAACCCAAAAAUGUAAUCGAUUUUUAUGAUUGAAAUCAAUGUUCACGGGACACUCUUUAAGCAUUUUUAAUAAAGAAAUUAUUCUUUAAAAAAGUUCAAGACUUCAAUUUUCAAUGCAAUAAAUGUACAAAACUUUCGUAAAAUCUUACCACUUUGAGUGCUUAACUAGUCUGUCAGGGACACUCGUUAACAUUACCCUUAAAAUUAACAUUGCUUUGAUUAUUUUAGUUCAAUUUGAAGAAACAUGGUAAAUACACAUAGAUAUCAGAGGUUCGAAGCUUGUAUAAUAAAAAUAGGGAAAUGUUAACAAAUGCCCUUGGUUAAUAAGGGUCUUGCUAACAAGUGCUAUAAGAACAUUGUUUAAGGAACCCACAAAAAGAAAUUAUGUAUUGAAAAUACAAAUCAAACAUAUGUUAAAGUCAUAACUGUACACUUUCCAGUGCAAUUGUAUGUCGUUUUGGAAAAAAAAUUUGUCCCAAAUUGUAUGUCGUUUUACAAUACCAAUGAAGCAUUAAUGUUAUUUUUUCUAUUAUAUCCUUAAUUAUUUACUACUUUCUCUUCUUCCAAGUCAUUCAUUUAUCUUUCCCAUAUCAUUUACUAAGGACAAUUUUGUAAAACAAUUCAUAAUAUUCAUUUUUCACACAAAAUUAAUUACAUUUCUUAAUAUGUGUGAAAUGCUCAAAACGUCAUACAAUUUGGGACGGAGGGAGUAUAAUAAUACAGAUUUAAAUAUUCCAAAUAAGUUUACUUAUGAAAAUUAUUAGUAGAAAUAUAGAAGAUAAAAUUAUCAUUGAUACAUAAAUAUAUUUAUCUUGUUUUGGCACUUUUAGUCUCUAUUGUGACUAAAUAAAGAGUUAUGUUAACAAUGAAAAAUUGUCAAGAUAAGAUUCGUAAAAGUAUAUUUUACUUUUUCUAUAUAUCUGUCCCCCUCAUAAAAUUUUGACUUGCUUUGCCACUCUUAUGGCUCUUCGUUAAUAAGAAUAGUAGCAACCUAAUUUGAAAUUAUAUUAUAAAGAUUGUGUGAAGCAUAAGAUAGAAAUGUUCGUGCAAGAGUAUGAGUGCUACAAUUUGUUUGAUGCCUAGUCAACACAACUUUGUACCUGUUGUGAUUCAUGAGAAUAAUUUUACAAUCUUGGAAGAUCAUACCGUACUUUGAGUGAUUUAAUUUAUUUUUGUUAUUAUCAUCAACCACCAUUUUGCAGCGUUUCUAAUACCAUGAAGUGAUGCUCUAACGAGUUCAACCAUUCAAGUUCACACAACAAACUCCAACAUUUCAAAGGACAAGCAUACAUGUUUCUUGCUUUUUCUCCCAGAGUUCAAGAUUGUGUUUCAUGCUUAUUCUCGCAAAGUUCAAGAUUGUGUUUCUUCUAUAAGCUCCAAGCAGACAUGGCAAAGUUCACUAAUUAAUUUUGACUCAUCUGUUUCCAUAAUCUAGCAACACAUCAUUGAAGCCUGCGGUAUCUUCCAUUAAUCCUUCCAACGAAGGACACAAGUUCAAUUUUCGCCAACAAAUUAACACCAUCAACAUAAGAACAAAUGUCAAUUAUAUUCAGUGUAGGAUUGACAAACCACGCUAUUUGACUGACAUUCAAUACACUUGCUAGUUAGCCUCUGUCAAUCAGGUAGUUAAUCCCUCCCAAGUAUUAGUGUGUAAUUCAAACCUUAAUCAUGUUUGUUUGUUAGUUAGGGUUAGUUACUUGUCUCUCAAGUAACUAACUGAUUUACCUAUAUUUUAGCUAGUUAGUUACUUUCUGUUUGUUACUUGAUACACAAGUAACAGUGAACAUCUUUGUAUAUAUAUAGUGUAUCCCAUUAUGAAUAAACAAUGCAAUUUUUCACAAUUCAUUAAUUCUCUUAAUUUUUCAAUCUAUUAUUCUCUCUAUCACCAAACUGUUUCUUCUAAUCCAAGUCAUCAACACAGAAACCCUAACAAAAACUGUUAUCCCCUAACACCAAGAGGCCACAUAAAAUGUUUAACCUUCGGAGGGAUGGGAAGUGACCACAUCUUGUUCCAAUCUCUUUCCCGUUUCUAAUUAAUCAUCCCUAUUUAUGAUAAUGUCAACACAAACUCAAUAAGCACUUUUGACUAAAUAUAGACCUUUUCUUGACGAAUCUUCAUAUUAUUGCAUCCUUUCUUGCAAGAUUAGUUCACGGAAUGUUGAGAACUUCAUGUACAUCUAUCUCACUAAAUAAAUUCCAAAGAAGGUUAGUAUUCAAACUUCUAGAGUUUGUAUCAAUAGGUGUACUAAAUUUGUAUGUAGCUAAAAAAUUGGUACAUACAGUAGAUAUAUAUAACAUAACCCUCCCUUCGACAAUAUUCUUUUUUUUUUGCUAAGCAGUGAGAAAGACAAACAUCAGGAGGUAACACCGACGUCCCAAUUAGGUUGACAUCCUGGAAAACCACCGUCCUCUGUCCGCUAAACUCUAAAAAUUUAUUAAUAAAGAGAAAAAAUAUAUACAAGAAGAGGGGAGACUAGACCAAAACCCUAAAAAAAAAAACAAAAAUAUAGGAUUAUGUUGACAUUGUUGAGAAGACCAAAUUCUACAUCAAACAAAGAUAGGAUUAUGUCCUAAAAGACACUCCCAAAAAAUCCCUAUUAAACAGGUAUAUAGCUUUGAAAAGAGUGUAAUAUUUUUUCAAUCAUCUUUUCUGCAAAGGAAUGAUGUAAUAGAAAUACACUAAUACAAUAAGAAGGGAUAGCUUGAGCAACUGAUUUAAUGAACUCUCCUUUCCUGUUCGAGAGAGCUUCUUACUAUUCCAACAAGAAUUAAGCUUCCACAACCGAUUCUUAAUGUAGUUAAAGAUCGAUUUUUCGCUUCUACCUAUCAUAGAUUGGAGCCCAAGAUAUUUUCCGGAGCCCAUGCACUUUGGCACUUGUAAAAUAUUAGAGAGCGUGGAGGAAUAUUUCUACUAAAGAAAAUCUCAUAUUUUUACUUCUUAAUCAUUUGCCCAUAAGUAUUUGCAUAUCUAUCUAAGAUUCCUUUUAGUAUAUGUGUUUCAAUUUCAUUGGCUCUAAAAAAUAAGUUGCCAUUUGCCCAAAAAAAAACAUGACAAAUAGUAGGAACUCAUCAUAUUACCUUCACUCCACGGACCAUUCCUUUUUGCAUUUUUAUUAGUGUCGCCAUUCCUUCCGAACACAUAAUAAAAAGAAAAUACGAUAAAAACUCACCCUAUCUUGACCCUCUUUCUAAGUAAGCUAGUAGAGUUUCAAGUUAGAAAUUACAUUCCAUUGAAUAAUAUAUUUAGGAUUAAGAUUUUUGUGAAUAAUAUUCCUACUCGUAUGUAUGUUUGAUAAAAAUUUAGAGUUUGUUCAGAUGGUUGUAAAUUUUUGGUUUUUAUUAUUGAAAAUCCAUUUCAAAGCCGAAACUUGAUUGUGCAAAAUUAGAUUCAUUUUGUAGCCAAUUAUUUUUUGGAAAAUAUGGUUACUAUGAAGGAUGAAUCCUCAAAAACAAAGAAUGAGACCAACCUCUACCAUGAUUUCCACCAAAUCCAUAGUUGUUGGAGUAGUCGAGUGUCCAUUCUUAAGAAAUUGUAUUCAAGCUUGACCAGGUUUUUAUUAUGGGUGAUCAAACAAACACAAAAGCAUAAAGGGACAUGAUUUCAAUCAAAUUAUGUAAAAAGUUCUGUCCAUUUUUACGGAGUUUAAGUUAUGAUCAAGAAAAAAAAGGUUGACGGAAGAAGCCAACAAUUACAAAUCGUAUCGUGUAGAGGAUGAAUAGGGUAGAGCCUAGCCGUUUUUUUGAAUUUAUUUUAAAUAAUAAUUCAAUUAAAUUGAUUUGAUAUGACAUGGAGAAAACAAGAAUUAUAAUUGGAUGACACUCUAAAGUGAUUUUAGAGUGUCAAUGCAUAUCCAUUUUUCCCUAGUAACAGACACUAUGUCAAGUUCGAUUUUCACUUUCAUAUUUCUAAUUUUAAUACUCACUUAACUUAAUAACAACGGAAAUUUAGAAUAUUUACAAGAACAAAACAAAUUUAACCCAAAAUUUUAUAUAACACACCUUUUUUUUUAUAUUGGUUGAAAUUUCACAAACCACAGAAUAUUGUGUGGGAUAUAUAUGGAUUUUAAUUUAGAUUAGCGUAGUCAAAUUUAAUUUUGUAAAUUUGUCCAAAAAAAAAAUUAAUUUUUUCGUAAAUACUCAAAUUAAUUUAAUGUCUGAAUAUUGAAAUAUACCGUUAAUCAUUUAUAUUAAUGAAAAACAUUUAUUUUAUUUGUAUGUUUUUUUAUUGGACCGAUGUGGAAGAGACUUGUUCUAAAAUUUGCUCAUUGUUCGAUUUAUGAUUAGAGUCGUAUAUAUUGUAUCCAGUGUUAUCUUUCAUGUGUUUAUAAUGCAUGUGCUGAAAAAAUUUAAUAACAAUUCAUGGUGGCUCUAAGAACUCGCGCCUAGCUUCCCCAUGAAGUCUGUUGAGCCAUCCACCUUCCUCAAAGUAUAGGUUUAGUCAUAUACAAGGUUUUAAAAAAUGGGCUGUUAUCGGGAAAAAUUCCGUGACAAUAAGGUAUAGGUAGCCGAUGUUAUCGUUUUUUACCGUUUUUAUAGAGUGAACAAAAAUCACAACGAAACGUCGUUUCAACUGCGAUGAAACACCAUUGCGGCCGCAAGAAAUGUCGUUUAUGACAAUUGUCAUAGAAUAUGGAUAUUUUUUCAAUUAAGAUAGAUGAAAAUCAUAUUUUUAGUACAUAUUUAAUCAUAAUGUUGGUUCCUCAUCUAGUUUAGAACUCAAAAUCUAUCUCUAGUUUAUGUUAUUUACUUUACUAUCAUCAUUUAAGAAUUUUGCAAUGUUAUGAUUAAUUCACACCGUGACAACCGUAAUCCGUAGUGCAACAUCCGUAACAGUUGAAAUCGCAAAAUCCUAUACGCGAUCGCGAUCGCGUCCGUUAUUUAAAACAUUGGUCAUAUAUAUGUUUAUUGUUUCUAUUUUAUAUAUAGAUAUAUGAUUAUAAUUUUAUAAGGUUAGGGCAUAAAUUAAGGAACAAAAAGUAGAAGUUUCUCCUUGAAAAUUGAGCAUUCAAUCUCUUGAAAGUUUCAAAAGUUAUUUUAUCAACAAAAAAAUUUAGGGUCAUGUUAACUUGUGCCCUAAGGGCACAAAUAGGGUACAAGUUAAUAAACUAAAAAUGGAAUAAAAAGACAACUUUAGCAUUGAAAAUAUAAAUUUUCAAACUUUUAAUACAAUGAAUGUACAAUUCCCAAGAAAAAGUUUCUAUGUUUAAUUUUCAAAUUUUUAAUACAAUGAAUGUAUAAUUUCCCAAAAAUUUAUUACUUAAUUCUAUUUUAAGUUCCUUAACUUAUGCCCUAACAUGACCCAAUUUAUAAAAGUUUUAUAUUUUAUAUAAGCAUAUUUUUGUUGGGUUACUGGAGGAGCCGAGGGACCGUCCACAUCGAGGCUAGAACAACCACACAAGCAAGAGAGACACCACACUCUUAUCCAAAACCUAAAGGUAAUGUGUUUAUUGGUCCUCUUACUUAUAAGGUGUUCAACCUUUACUCUUUUAUCCGAUGUGGGACAUAUAACUCACACUUGCAAACAACAACAAUUUUUAGAAAUUUUAGUGAAUUUUAUCUAAAAAAUAACAAUAUGUUACAAAUAUGUAUUAAGAAGUUUUAUGUUAUGAAUUUUACUCCCUCAAAAAAAAAAAUGUUAUGAACUUUAUAAUCGGUCAAUUUUCUUAAAAACCAAAUUAAAGUAAUAACAACAAUGAUAUAAUACACAUUCACCACUUCUUGCAAAAGCUCAUCCCCAUCACAGAUACAUAGAUUGAUGCAAAUUUAUACAUGAUUUUCACUCCUGGAAUAUCUUUACUAUAUAGUGACAAGAUAGAUGACAGCAACUGAGAUUGAUGUCUAUCUAUGCAUGCCAUUUUUUAUCAACUCACAAACAUUAUUUAUUCAUGAAAUUUAUUAUUAAGAAAGAGUGCAUCAUAACAUGAUCAUAGCAUUAUGAUCAAUUCUGAGUUUUGUCCUCAGCUUGCACGGCAACAAAUUCAGCAUGUGAGCAGCAAUGGCCAUGGCAAUAGUAAUGGCAACCACCUCCACCAUGGUGAGAACCACCUCCACCGUGAGAACCACCUCCAUAGUAAUGUCCACCACCAUUGUGGUAAUUACCACCACCAUUGUGAUAACCACCACCACCAUAUUUGGCAUCAUUUACUUCAUUAGUCUUUUCCUCAGUUUGGACGGCAACAAAUUCAGCAUAUGAGCAGCAAUGGCCAUGGCAAUAGUAAUGACAACCACCUCCACCGUGGUGAGAACCACCUCCACCGUGGUGAGAACCACCUCCAUAGUAAUGGCCACCGCCAUUGUGGUAAUUACCGCCACCACCAUAUUUGGCAUCGUUUACUUCAUUAGUCUUUUCAACAACCUCUGCAAACAUAAUAUAUAUGAACGAUUACAUUUUAUAUACAUAUAAGAAUGAUCAAAUCACAUCGCUGUAAUGUUUGAAUAUUUUUACAAUGCUCAAAAACUUCUUAUUUGAUACUUAUUUUAUAAAGCUAAACAGUUAAAUGUAUA
rnacentral:lncRNA from 1 species